UUUUUUUUUUUUUUUUUUGCUUUUUGUACACUUCAACAGAAUUUCUAAAGAAGGCCCAAUUAGAUGUCAUGGUUACAUAGAAAACACCACCUAUUCUUGGACAUUAAAAUAUACAAAUUAGUCAGUAAAAAAAAUGAACAAAAAUAAAAUUCAGCAUUUCCAAUUUUUUGUUUUAUGGUCUUAAGGAUCCAACAAGUUCGGGUGUAACCUUCGAGAAUACCUCAAGUACUCAACAAAAAUUAUAGACUAAGACUGUUAUCCAAUCUAGAUUCCGAAAUUUAUUUGGGCAAAAGGAGAAAGAAAGUUUGGAAUCUAGAUUCCAAACUAAAAAACAAAAUCUCUUUAUUAUAAUCUUAAAUGGGCUAGUUGAUCAAUAUUCAUUAAGAAUUAAUUUAUACGUUUAAACUUUGCCGAAUAAGAAUAUGCUCACCAAAAUGUGCCAAUGGGCAUACGAGUCAAAAAAAAAAAAGGAACCGUCUGGCAUUAAUUCCUUGUAUAUGUGUACAUGAACAUUCACUACAAACAAAUACUCCAAAUUCAAAACCCCUCCAAAGUUGUACACAGUAAUAUUCUCACAAUUUAUCGAACCCUCUAAUCGGCAACCUCCAAGGAAAAAGGAACAAGAGAGUCAACAAAAAUGUGAUGAAACUCAGUAACUUUUAGAAUAUAUAGAUGGAGUGCAGUUUGACCUUGCCUUGUGGUGAAGGAAUCGUUUUUCUCUUUUUGUUCUUUUUCUCUUGUCAUUAGCAUAACACUUAUAGAAUUGAUCAAAAUUAGGUAUGAUUGCUUUUAUAUAUAUAGAACAUCAGUCUGACAAUUGCUUAGCAAGUUUUCUCCACCAAAAACACACACAAAAACGCAAAGAUAAGAGAGAAAUGUUUGGGAGACUGUGUGAAGAGAUUGAAAUUAAGGUGGCAGCAAAUGAAGCUUGGAAGAUUUUUGGAGCGCUUGAACUUGGCCAUCUUGCUUUUCAACAACUCAGUGAUAUAAUUCAUAAAAUGGAGGUAUUAGAAGGCGAUGGGGGUGCUGGUACAGUAAUCAAACUCAGCCUUCCUGGUAAUUAAUCCAGAAUGUACUCUACUUUUCUUGCUAAUCUUCGAGGAUUUAUGUUUUAUGCACUAUCAACACACACAUCCAUGUAUACGUGACCCCUUAUAGUUUUUCAUAUUGCCACAUGACCCCAUUAAAGUUUUAAAAUAUUCAUAUAACCUCCUCGUAAUUUUAUGUAAAGUGAAAAGCAAAUGGAAUCAUAAUAUCCACUUAAUCCCUUAUAAUUUGUGUUAAUAUCCGUUUUACCCCUUAUGAUUUUUUAGCCACAUAAUUCUCUUGUGAUUUUAUGUAAGGUGAUGAGAUCGUUAUCUAAUUUAGUGUUUAAGUAAGGGUAAUACUGAUAUUUUAAUUAAUGGCAUUGUGGAUGCUUUUUUCCAUCAAAUUUUCACUUUAAAUAAAACUAUAGAGGGCUUAUGUAGAUAUUUAGAAAUGCUAAGGAGUUAUCUGGCAAUCUGUGAAUCCACAAAGAAAUUAAGUGCAAUUUAUCCCAAAAAAAAAGUUAUGCUUGCGGGUACGAAUUCAUGACACAUAAUCUGACUUGCAUUAAAAACUUUCCUUUACCACAUAUGACAUACAUGUAGAAAUUUCUCAAUUGUACAUUUUUUUUUUUAAAUUUUCGGGUCAAGAAAUUCUCGUAGGUAUAACAAGUAUACAUGUAUUUUCACAAAACUUUUCUCGCAAUUCACAAUCUUUUUCUUUUUCUCUUAUUUUUUUUCUAGCCCAUGUAAUCUCUCACGGUUGGCUUGUCCCUCUACGAAUUAUAAUUGAUUAGGUAAUACCUAUUGCAAAGAAAUAUUGAAGGUGGUUGACCAAGAGAAACGAGUGAAAAUAGCGGAGCUUAUUGAAGGCGGGUUUCUUGAUAUGGGAUUCACAUUUUAUCAAGUUCGGAUUGAAGUGAUUGAGAAUGCCAAGGACGAAAACUCAUGCACGGUCAAAUUCACAAUUGAAUAUGAGGUGAAGGAAGAUGCAGCUGCUAAUGCUUCACUUGUCAGCAUCCGGCCUUAUGUUACUAUGAUGAAUGUUGGUGUGGAUUAUCUUGCUAAGAACAAGAACAAGUGACUUCCCAUUUUUCUGCAUUUUUAUCUUUCUAUUUACUUCAAUUAAUCUCCUUUUUUCCUUGUGAUUUGUGAUGAAAAAAUUGUUGUAAAAGGAAUUGUACUUCGGUUAUUUUGAAGCAGGAAUGAGGAAACUCUGAAAAAAUGGUCCAUUUCAUACCUAAUUAUUUUUUUUUCCCUAUCUUGUUACAUUCUUGAUAAUGCAUAAUCGUCCCUUACACAUUCAACUCAUGUUUCUCGUCUGCAACGUCCUAAUAUAACCGAGGCAAAAAUAGAAAGGGAUUGAAUUAUCCUCAAAGGUGAUUAUUUCCCCAAAAAAAAAUUAAAAAGGAAAAAGGUGACCUUUUUACAUUUUUUCAAAUCAACGAAAAUGCCAGUCACUUGUUGUAAAGUCUCAGGUUGGUUAUAAGCUAAAAUUGAUAAGUCGGUUCAAUCUUAGUACUCCCUCCCUCCGUUGCAAUCAUGUUUCAGAAAUUCAACUUUUUAAAAAUAGUUAUUUGAUUGUGAUAUUUAUACUUUUCUUUCCAGUUUUACGCUCACAAAUUCAAAAUUUGAAUUUAAAUGACAACAUACUUAUGAUUAAAAAGAUGGACUAUAUUAGAAGGAGAGACUAAAAAGUAAAUUAACUUUCUUAAUAUGACAAACAUUUUGAGACAUUUUAAAAUGAAAAGUAUGACGCAUUCAAUGGAACAGCGGGAAUAUUUGUUUCCCCGCAAGAUGAGUUAUACUGUUUAUCUCCUUGCAAUGUCUUAACAUAGGUACCCAUCCUUGUAAAAUUUUAGGUUGGUUGUGAGUUGAAAUUGAUAAAUUGGGUUUAGUGCUAUGAUUUUUAUCCCGGCUUUAAUAUGUUAACAACUACAAUAGUUUGAUUUUUGUCUUGGGGUGGCAGAUAACAGGGAAUCUCUUUUUCUCUUCCUGCAUUUGUUUUCUUCAUUUCAAUUGGUAGCAUUUCACUUCAAGAAUUGGCACACCAAACUCGUCAUGUUAUUACUUCGUCAUAGGGUGGCAGAUAAUGAAGAAUCUUUUUCUUUUGUUCAAUUUCCCUAUUUGGGUAUCUAGCACAGCAACUUGUCCCCAUAUAUCUGGUCAACAAUUUAAAUUCUCAGCCAUUCAAAAACAGUACUAGUAUACGCAGACCAAAAACAUCUGCAGCAUUUUGGGAGAAAAAAAAAAUGUUUGGAAAACUAUCAGAAGAGAUGGACACAAAGGUGGCAGCAAAUGAAGCUUGGAAAGUGGGGAUGAACAAAGUUUUUUUUUUCUUGGGAUGAACAAAGUUAUGCUUCCUAUUCUAGAUUAAUUGUACUCCAAAAUUUGAAUGGUUAUCCAUUCUUGUUGGAUUUAGUCUUUCAAUAUUACUUAAUUGCUUUUCUAUUUUCGAGGACAAGGAGGAGGGUUUUUUUUUUCUUUCUUUUUUUAACCCUCUCACCCCUUUUCGCAUUCUUUCAAAUAUAAGAUUUGAAUCCUAAAUCUAACAACGAAAAAGAUUUGAAUAGUCUUACAUUGUCUUGUGAGAGGUUUUAGCGGUAACCUUAUAUAGAUACAUAAAGAACUUAAGUAAACCUUAAUCAGCCAUUGAAAGUUACAUUAUCGACUACCUAUCAACAAAGAAUAUAUAGUGAUAAGAAUCUCCAACUCUGCACAAUGUCAAUGUUUUCCUGAGACCUUUUUUACAUUUUUCCAAUCAACGAAAAUGCCAGUCACAUCCUUGACAAACUCUUUACGUACAAAACUGUCUGAAAGAUAAUUUGAUCUCUAAACCUCACAGAUGACAGAAUGUGGUAGCAGAAGCAAUCCUAUGCACUAAGCAGACAAAAAGUGAACUUGUACAUUUCUGUGCCAUCCAUUGCAAUUCAUGAUCUCAAUCAGCAGUAUGUCUAUAAAUUUAAACAGCAUCUUUAGACUAAUCCCCAUACAUGAGCAGAAAAUUAAAGAGACAACAGAAAACUAGAUGGAACACAAAUGAUCAGCAUACUAUACUACCACAAGGAUCCCAACUUAUCCUUUGUUAAUAAUUUGUCCUUUAUUGUUGUCUUUGACCAAAUAAUGUCGUCAAUUGUACAAAUAAAGACCCCACACAAUUCUAUUUGGAUUGCAUUUAAUAUAAAAUUAAGGGAUUCCAUAGUUCCGCUUUAAGUAAUUCCAUUCAAUAACCAACUACUAGACUUAUCAAGUAGUUUAUCCAUACAGUGAUAAAAUUUCUGAAUGAAAAUAAUAGAAAUCACUAGAAGUGGCAAAAUGGAUUCAUAUCCACCAAUCCAUCCAUAUAAACCAACCUUAAAUGGAUUUGGAUGAUCCAUAUAAAUUCAAUGGUUUUAAAUGGAUAACCAUUUAAAUCCAAUUAUAUUGGUGGAUUUAAAUGGAUUAUCCAUCUUAUCCAUAUACAUCCAUUUAACUUAAAAAAUAGAAAACACAUCCUUUUAGGUGAUUUAAAGAUAGAACUUUGGGGAUCUAUAUUUUUUGGAAAAAAACAUUUGAAUCUUAAAUUUAGAAUUUGGGAGAGUAAAUGGAUAAAUGGAUGGAUCAUGGUUUACACUAUCCAUUUAAAUGACAUCCAUUUAGAUCCAUUUAUUAAAUGGUUUUAAUUGGAUUGGAUCAAUUUGAUCCACUAUCCAUUUAACUAAAACCAUUUAUCAACCAUUUAUCCAUUUUGCCACUUCUAGAAAUCACCUUGCAUUAUCCAAAGUGAGGUUUAUCAAUUCAGCCAAAAUAACAAAUGUGACUACAAAAAUACGAUAUGUUAAUGCGGUAGACAAACACUUGAAAAUAGUUUCAAAAAAAAAAAUAAAAGAUGGAUCAAUCUUUUAUUUUAUUUUAUUUCUACCCCAUAUAGCUGUGAGUCAAAUAAAAUAUCAUUUUUCAAUAUUUAUUUACUAGAAUUAUCUCCUAAUCAAAGACCUUGUGAUCAAAUUCUAUAACAAUUGAAUAAAAAAAUUCAAGAGAGAUGACAACAUAGAUUUUGUUUUUUACGACAACGAUAACAGUUGUAUAACAUAUUCUAUCCUAAUCUAAAGUGAGGGAAAGCCUAAGGAGACUUGUGUAUCAGGGAUCAGUAGCUAUGCAGAUCUGACUAGAUCAAGGGGGUAUCACUGGAUUUUUUUUGCUGCAAGUGGGAUUUGAACUCCCCACCUACAGCCUUGAGCUAAGCCCAGUGGUUGAUGACAACAUACAUCAAAAGUAGUCAAAAUGCAAAUUUCAUUCCUCAAAACUAAAAAUUAAAAAGCUGUCCAAGUCAAUGGAUAAGAAGGGUUAGAAAGGUGAAACCCAACGGCAAAAAUAUGGGCUUCAGAUAUUCUAUAGCCCAGAACAUUCUCAAAUAGUUUGGGCUCUUGCAUGGGGCCCAAAUUUUGUUAUUAUCCUCAUCUCCUCCGGCGGCCUAGUUUUUUUUAUCUCUGGCGAACUGGCGAAGAAAGAGAGCAGUGGGAUUUUCUACUCUAGAAAAUGAACAGGUAAUAUAAUUAUUCCCAUUUUCUUGUGUUUCUAAUUCGAUUUUAGUGGUUCAGAACUCAGAAGAUUGUAUUCUCCCCCCAGAGUCAUUUUUUGAAAAAAUUCCUGUUAAAGAAUGUUGAUGAUUUCUUAAGCGAAAUGUGCAUGUAAAUGUGUAGCCAAAAAAUUCUAAAAGAAAAUCAUGAAGAAAUCAAGAGCAGCUGGUGUUAGAGAACGUAAAAAGAAACGAAUUUUGAUUUGGGUUUCUGCAGCCGUUUAACUUUGAGGAGCUAAUUGUUCAUGUGAUGUGUUUUUUGAACAAUUAAAAGGGCUGUAAAAGCUUCUUGAAUUUUGAACCCAAAAAAAAAAAAAACAAAGAGCUUCUUGAAAGUGCUUCUUUAAGUUUUAAUUGUAUACUUAUUAUUUGAGUAGAGGUGAAAAUUCAAAUCUUUUUCGGUAUACAUUUGGAAGUUUCUUGGAAGAUAUCUUUUAUAAAUAUUAUUGAAUUGGUUGUCAGCUGCUUCUAACUCCAAACUGAUAUCUGAUGUCUUGCAUUUGAUGUUUGCGAGUUGUAUGCAGUGUAGUCGAAGUGACAUAGUGCAUGUAUGAAUGGAAGAUUGUAUAAAUUAUCUCGUUGAACUGUCUAGAGUCAGUUUUGAAGUGAUUCUAUCUACUGAUUGAUAUGAAAAGUAUUACACUUUAUGUUUGCAAAUCUUAUGUGGACCUAUUUAAAGUAAGCCCACCAUGUGGAGAUUUUACACCUAAUAUGCGUAUCAUUAAGUGUAUCCAAUGUCUUGGAAUGAUUCAAAGAUUUUACUUUGGAGGGCAAUCAUUUGUGUUGUUUUUUUAAUGGUUCUCAAUGCAGGGCAAUUGUUAGGAGAAUUACGCCUAGUAUCCGUACAUGGAGAUCCACCCUGAAAACUUUCUGUAGUGAUACAAGUGAAAAGUUACAUGGUUCACACGGUGACAAAGCAGUUACAGUAAAGUCUUCAUCCUUGGUUAAUAAGUUUGACCUUUUUUUAUUAUAUUUUUAAUCUCAUUACAGCUCUCAGUUUAAACCAUGAUCUUGUCAUUUCCUGUGUUUCUAUAUGUUGCUAGCUCUUGCUUUGAUGGAUUAUUUUUUAUCAUGCAUAGUUGAUAGAGUUCAAUAACUUGAUUUUGUCAUUUCCUGUGUUUCUAUAUGGUUUGGAAGAUGCAUCGGACAGACAAUUUGAUUCUUUGUCACUGGAACCUGAUAAAAUCUUGUGCUCUGCUAAAUCUAGCCAGAUACAGCUUAUAAGGCACUUUUGUUUGUUGGUGUGAUUUUUUAGUUUCAUGCUGAACAUUAAAAUGGAAAACUUUUUUUUUUAAAAUAGGAGCAAUGGGCACCAUAGGUUGUCAUGUAAGUAGGAAGCUACCACAUGAGAUACGUAUGUAACUUUGAACAUAUAGUAGUUGUGUCGGAAAACUAAUGGAAGAUAUUUUCAGGAGGUUUUGGUGAUGGCAUUGUGCAAAGUUACACAUGCAGUAAACAAACAUUUGAUGUUUCACUGUCAAUUAACUGAUAACUAACAUAUUAAGGCUGAUUAUACCUCACUUUUACUGCAUUCCACUACCAAAUGCAAAUGGCUGAUGGUUUGUAAUGUUCCUUUUCUUACAUUGCUUCCCCUCUGCCACCCUACUCUUUCACAUCCUUAUAAUUUUUCUUAACAUUUAUGAUUGCGUAUGCUCGCUUAUAAAGAAAUUAACCUUUUAUUCUGUUCUGUUUACUCCAUCUAUUUAAUGAUCAUCCGAGAGCAUGUUUUUUUGUUUUCCCAUUGUUCUCUCUCUUAUGUCAAUUUUGAUAAUCUCAAUAACCUGGAGCAUGAGUAACACGAUUUAAUUUCAGUCAAAAAUAUAUUGAUGAUACCUGAAAAACUUGGUAGCUAUAAUAUGGUAUGCUAAGGACGGGAUCUGUGGUUACCUUAUUGAAGGAAUGUCAUAGUCAUGCUAAUUUUCUUUAUUGGUUCUUUAAUCUUUCAAGUGAUAAGGUAUAGAUUAGCCAUCAUGUCAGUCCUUUAUUCUUUCAUUUGGGAGAUUAUUAUUGAAAGUUUCUUAACUCAAUUUCUACUCUUCAAUGUUAAGCAGGACUCAACCGACAAUGUUCCUCAAUAUGAUGUUGCUAUUGUUGGGGGUGGCAUGGUUGGCAUGGCUCUUGCUUGCUCCUUGGGUACCAAAAUAAACAGUUUUUUUUUUUGGUUUGAAUGUUAGAUAUACUUUUCUAAUCUUUAAUGUUUGUCUGUUUUGCCUUACCAUGCGCAUAUAAUGGCCUAGCUGUAAGUUAGUCCUGUAUUUAUGCCAAUAGUAGUUCUGUAUGUUUCAGAAAACGUAUUUUACAUCUUUGCAGUCAAACUUUAUGUUUGACUUGAUCUUAAACCUCCAACACUAAGAUCUCAAUUUGUUUUUUCGUCUUCCUCCUCUUUUCUUCUUUCAUUUUUCUUUAUGCCUUUCUUAUGUGUAACAAUAUCAAAAAAUCGAUUUUUGAAGAGCCUUCUUGAUUGGUUAAACUUGAACAAGCCUUAUAUGAGUUUCAUAUGCCAGUUAUAUAUUUUUGUUCUGCUUCUUUUUCUUGUUCUAGGGAAACAAGAGGAGAUGAUUAAUUGGAAAUAGUCUUUUUUGAUGCAUUAAACUUGUUUUUGUGCACAUUGGAGUAUCUAGAUUACAUAAACAGUUGUUAAAAUGUUCUGCAGCUAGCAUGCCAUUGACAAAACAUCUGAAUGUUGCCAUAAUUGAUAGCAAUCCUGCACUUCUGGCCAGAGAUAGCAUCAAAAAAGAGGACGCUCCAGAUCCAAGGGUCAGUACAGUGACGCCUGCAACUAUAUCUUUCUUCAAAGGUACAACCUUUGAAUUUUUCUUUCCUUUUUUUUUCGUUGCUGUGCUUGCAGAUAGUAUACUGGUUGGUGUUUCGUAUUCUGCUGUGUGGUCUUCUUAUAAUUAGGACAAUAGUAUGCAUGUGUAGAGAAUAGAGUUGUUAUUACAUCAACUCAUGUAGAGGCAUGCUGGUAGAUGUAUUAAAUAUUUUAGUCCUUUCUCUGCAAAAAUGGACCAUUAAAUAAUACUUAUGCCAAUUCAAAGCAUCAUGACUGUUAUUCAUUCAACUUAAAACAGUUCCUGUUGUAUGGGAAGGUUAGGCCCAUAGACUUGUCUAACUUUGAUAUUUUGGAUGAGGUAUAAAAAGAGCAAGUAGGGAGCUGCCUAGACCAACUUAACUGGCAAAAAAGAAUCUUAUGUUGACUGUGUUAGCAUUCAUUCAUGGUUAUGAGGUUGAGGCAGUGCCUUUACCUCUUCGUUAACUGCAUAACGGAGAUGCUUCAUUUUCUUUGCCGGUGGGAUCUUUUUCUGUCAUGUUCUUUUUGCAUGAACUUAAGCAACGGUUUUAGGGUAUUUUAGUCCUGCAUUUCCUUGCUACUCAUUCUCAUUGUGGCCAAAAACUACACCAUGCACCUUAGAUACAAAGGUUGUGUGAUUUUAGUGCUGCCAUAUAUUACCUGCCAGAUGAGGAAUUUAGCUAUAAUAAGCAGAAGCUUAUCUCUCUUCUCCCCGUACAUGGACAACAAUAAAAGAGGGAUGAUGAUUAGGUAGUAUGUGGUUUUGCAAUUCAAACAUGUUUAUCAGAAAAGGUAAACAUGAUUACCCUUUAUACUGAAUCUAUUUUAGGUUGUUCAGUUACUCAACUAGUUGAGUCUUUAUUCAAAGUGUAAUCUUUGUCUGAAAAGCAACUUUAGAUGAUAAAAAUGUUUGAAAAAACUUUUGACAUGAUAGUCCAAGUAUAACUUUAGUUUUCAAUCUGAAAGGUCAAGAUUAAUGAUGUCAAUCUGAAGUCAAAUGUUAAAAAACGAUCAUGUUGUUAGUGGAAUGCUCUUUGGGGGGUACUAAAAUACCCAUUUCAGUGUGAUUGUUCCCAACCUGAUGCCCAGUUCGUAUCUUGAAAUACUGAAAUGCUAUUUGAGAUGCUUAAUUCUGAAUUUUCUUCUUCUAAAUGGUCCACUUGACUUUAAAAUGGAAUUUUUCAUACUUCUUCCAAGAUUAUGGUUGUUUAUCGUUGACCAACAAAGUAUAACAGUGGCGGCAUGUAGGUAUGGGUGCAUGGCAGUAUGUUCAACUGCAUCGGCAUGCCUUUUUUGAUAGGAUGCAGGUAAAUCAUGCUGUUAAUUUCUAUUCUCUAAGCAUCUUUACUUAUUUGGUGCUUGCGUACAAUGUGAACAGAACAAAAGUAAGCUUUCUUGGUCUUGGGGCAUGUUAUUUUAGGAUCUAGGAUCUACUUCCUUAUGGCAGUGUUGUAAUUGCAGAUUUUUGUUAUAGGACCUAAAACUGCAAUGUAGAAAUAUUUUUGUUUUUCGAAGGCCUUAAAAGGACAGAGCACAGCUCUUUACAGCUUCUGUCUUUCUGUUUGUUGCAAUAUAUGGUACUUGAUAGAAGAGUUUAAUCUGUUUCCUUUAUACCUUUGGCCUGUUGCAGUGUUUGCUUGAUAUGAAAGUAAGGAUUAUGUUACAGAAGUAAGUUACUUUUUAUUGUUUUUUGCUUUCUGAAAAACAAUGCACAACUAGUUGCCAAGUAAAUGCCUAAGGAAACAAAACUUAAAGACUCCAACUGGAAAUGUAAUGGUCGGGCCACAUAGUAUGUCCAACCAUGGAAGAAAGAGAUUUUUCUUUCCUUGGGAUGAAAGAUUAGUGUGAUAAACUUUUUAUUUGUGAGGUAUCUUAGAAGUAUGCGAUCAAACAUGGCAGGGUUAAUUAAAGAAAAAGGAUUGUGUAGUCAGCAUGGAUAAAAAUGUUAAAGUUUUAUGAUGUUGGAUUUGGCAGGGUUAUUUCAUUUACUUUACAUGUUGAUUAACAUGCAAUAUGUUGCAUUUUUAUCUCAUAUUUUUCGCUGAAUUGUCAUUGUAAUAAGAAUUAGCUGAAUUUCUGGAUUAUGCACUGAGUUGUGCAAGACUGGUACGUGGUAUGCGAAGAGUAUUUUCAAAGUAUCUAGUAAGUCAUAACAAAAGCCUUGCAAGUUGGUGGGCUAGCAUAAAUCUGAUACAGCAAGAGUGUUUUUGCCCAAUUGAUUUUAUCCAUAUUUCAUCAAAUUGCUGUCUUAUGAUUCUAUAGGUUUGGGAUUAUACUGGUCUUGCAUAUACAAGGUACAGUGCGCGAGAUGUUGGUAAAGCUGUCCUCGGGUAAGAGUAACAUUUAACUACAUAUGUAUAAUCAUUUCCAUUUUCCAGUAGCGGUUGCUCGCAGAUGAUACAUGAUUUGAGAUUUUAAUUCAGGUGUGUCGUGGAGAACAAAGUGCUUCAAAGAUCUUUGUUAUCAUGCAUGGAGGUACUUUACUACUUAGCUGUUCUUUUUCUGUUUAUCAUUGUGAAUUGAUUGUAGCUGUAAUUUUCCAUCCCUUAUUGGUUCAGUCUCUACGAUGCUACCUGUAGCUUCAGCAACACUUAUUUAUUUUUUGAUCUUCACGAGAAACAGCUCCACUUUUGUACCAAUUCCCCUUCUUUUGUACAGAAUGUGUACUAUCAUCAAUAUUGCUUCUCAUAAAGAAGCUUCUUACUUAUACCAUCAUGUUCUUGGUAUCAAUUUCUGAAGAGUAGGAUAUUGCAUCAGUAUAGUUGCCAUAGUUACCUUUUUAUUUGUGGGUAAGCAAAAAUGCUUCUGAAUAUCGUUCAAGAAUUGUCAUUUAAUCCCUUUUCAAAAAACUAAUGCCCUCUUCCAUGAAACAAAGUAGUGAUCAAACCAAAUUUAUCUUCUAGAAACUUGUGGUUUGGCCUGUUUUGUCCAUAAUUUCAUAGAUGGCCCAUAAGUUAGCUUAGAAUCUAAAUUUGAAUUAGCUUCAGUCUUGGAAGGCCCCAGACAAUGAGUGAAAGCUGUAUAUGUACUUUUCUAUUUGUUUAGUGUGGGAACAUUUAUAGUUGAAAAUAUAAUGUGCAUUUUUAAUAAUAUAUGUAGAUUUUUCACUUGAAUAAUGUAUUUCUGCUUCUUCCAAUCCCAUUAUAAUGCUUAAGCCCAAUGCUGAAACACCUUAAUUGCAUAAUUUUUAUUUUGAGCAUGAGCUUAAGCAUAAGCUGUAUAGUUCUGCUUUGCUCGAUAACUUUGCAGAUUUGAUCAGCCUGCCCUUUCAAUUUUUCACUCCUCUGAAGUCCCAAAAGCAAGAAGCCCCAAAGGAGAAAGGCUUAAUUGUUUUCUUCAUGUGUUUCAUUUGACAGCUUGAGCCAACUUCUAGGAUUUGCUUGACUUAUUUAAAGUAAUAACUUUCAGGACUCAGAUGUCAAGAAGAAAAUAUAUCCUUCUAGAUUGAAUUCAAUGACACUACAUAAAAGCUCCUUGAUAUCGGGAACAGACAGCAUAUCAUCAAAACCUUCUGGAAGUUUAGCUAAGCUGAACCUGAGCAAUGGUGAUUGUUUGUAUGCAAAGUUGGUGGUGAGUUCUGCCUUAAUUUCAAUUUGAUGAAGCAAAAGAUUGGCAAACUAGAAUAUGUUACAUAGGUGCAUCUUACAGAUGAAUUUGUUGAGUCACUGCUCAUCUUUCCACCCGUUUUAAGUCAAUUUAUUUGAUGCAUAUUGCAGGUGGGAGCUGAUGGAUCAAAAUCACAUGUCAGGAAUUUGGCAGGAAUUAGUACAACGGGGUGGAAAUACCCCCAAAAUGCAAUUAUCUGUACUGUAGAGCAUACAGAAGAUAGCAGGUGUGCUUGGCAGAGGUUUCUGCGUACUGGGCCCAUUGCCCUUCUGCCGAUGGGUGAUAAUUACAGCAACAUUGUUUGGACAAUGGACCCCCAACAAGCUGCGGAUCGCAGAUCAAUGAAUGAGACUGAUUUUUUAAAAGCAGUUAAUGAUGCUUUGGAUGAUGGACAUGGUCCGCAUCCUCAAUCUGAACGAAUGGGAGGUGGAGGAAUAUUGGCUUGGCUAAGAUCCGACGAGACAUCAUCAGCCAGUGAGCCCUUUGAAGUGCCUCCCAGAAUCACUAAAUUGGCCUCGGACAGAAUGGUGUUUCCAUUGUCCUUAAUGCAUGCCAACAAUUAUGUAUCAAAGCGUGUUGUUCUUAUUGGUGAUGCUGCACAUACUGUUCAUCCAUUAGCUGGUCAAGGAGUGAACCUGGGUUUUGGAGAUGCAAAUUCUCUUUCAAAAGUCAUUGCUGAAGGUGUUGCUGUGGGAUCUGACAUUGGAGAGGUACGUUGAUAUCGCUAUUCUUGAUUCUGUAGGAUAUCAUUUUGAACUUGUCAUGGAUAUGCCUUUGUUUUCCUUGUUAGCCCAAGUUGAACGGUGCAAGCCAAGUAUUUUAUUAACUUCAAGCGGUUGCACUCUUUGUAAUAUCCAUCGUUGAACGCGGACUGCAGUUGGAAGUAGUUGCCUAGAUGACCUGAUAUCAUUGCAUCAUUUUGUAUUUUUCACUGCUGCAUAUGGUCUGGAAAUGGAAUUUGAAGCAGUUGCUUAAUGUUUGUUUCAUUGUUCGUGCAAUUUCUGAUUUCAUUUCUGCGGAAUUGCUACCUCUUUUUAUGGUCAGAUGACGCUUUUGAAGAGAUAUGAAUCAGAAAGGAAAGCCGCGAAUAUUGCAAUGAUGGCCAUUCUUGAUGGCUUUCAGAAGGCAUAUUCCAUUGACUUUGGGCCUCUAAAUGUGUUGCGUGCUGCUGCCUUUCAUGGAGUCAACUACAUCUCACCCCUGAAGAAGAAUAUCAUUUCUUAUGCUUCAGGCGAGCAGAGACUUCCAAUUUUUACAUGAAAUAGAUGUAAACUUUUUUUUCUCUUUUUUUUUUUUCCCUUGUUUUGGAUAAAAUAUAGAUGUAAACUUCAAGAGGCAUUUUGUAUGUAGAUGACCAAAUGUACGUGCAUAAUAGGCUUGAGAGUACCCAAACAUCAGCUUCAGGAAAAAAAUACAUACAUAUACAUAUAUAUAAGCUCAAUUUUCGUUUGUGAAAUUGACUAUGGUCUUUCGCUAUAUUUUAUGCACCUUGCACCAGCUUAAUAAACUACGAAGUCGUCAAUGUUGCAAGGGGCAUAAGCGUCUACUGACAAAAUCCGAAGCAUCCUUUGUAUUGACAUUUUUAAUGUGUGCACACAAAUGCAGCGUCUAUGUUCAAGGUUCUUAUCCACUUGUGUUGUGCUUAAAUCCUAAACGAGCACUAACUAAUGCAGUAUUUUAUCAAUACAGAAAACAACUUUCUAAGAGCGGUUUGAGGGGAAAAUUGAGGGGAAAGUCAUCACUGAAAAAGCUUGAAAUUGCUGGUAGUAAGGGCAAAAUUAGUGCCCGGUUCAUUUACUGAGAGCUUCGCCUGCUCGUAGAUCAUGUGAAUGUGAGGGAAAUAACAAGUCUUGGAUGGUUAUUUUUAAGAGAUCAACAAUGUUUCUAGGUGGCAAUAGCCGGUAAUAUUUAUUCAUUAUGAUGUCAAACUUUAGUCCAAUUGCUGAAGAUCCUGACUGAGCUUCCAUUACCACUGAGGUUUGAUCUGUUAUCAGAGAAUCUUUCCAAUCUGAUUAUUAAUAGACAAAAGCAGCACUGUAUCAUCUCAAUAUCGCAUUGUAAUAUGCGAGAUCCUGAGCCACUGCAUUGAAAAUCUACCAGCGUUGAAAUGCUAAUCAUUGAGUGUUUUUUAAUUGUGGAGAACCAGGUGUUGCUGUUGCUGACCUUUGGCCAAUAUAUGUGGUGGUCUCAUGUUCUGUGGCACCGGUAUGUGAGAUCUAUAGCAUCAAUUUCUAAAUGUUGUGGCUUUCAUGUUAAAGAAACAGAGGUUUUGCAACUAGUGACGUGCUCAAGUUUUGUCAUGUACUUUAUAUUGGUAUUUCUUGAGGCCAAAACUCGGGUCUUCAUAGAUUCAAUGGUCGUAGUGCGACAUAAUCUAGAUUUACCUAAAUGUGUGCCUUCUUUCAAAUCAUUGGGGAACACCAAUUUUGACUGCACUUGUGGAAUUAAUAAAAACAUAUAAGUGUCCUGAUAAACUAGAUAAUUCACGACAAUCCUUCUAACAAUAGCCCUAUUUUAGUACUUACAUGCAUGUUUGGUGGUACUUAGGCAAAAGUUUUUAGCACUGUGACUUGGACUUCCAUUUUGUCUUUUCAUGAAUUCUUUUAUCAUGUGAAGGAUUUGUUUUUUUUUUUUUUUUCCACUUGGAUGCAUACAAGCUUUCUCUUUCGCCAUUUUAAUGGUCUCUUUGAAGAGCUGUGGAUAAGAUUGUGUCAUUUCCAAAUAAUUCAGAAUUGAUGUACUAAUUGUUAAAAAGCCUUGCGUUAAGUGCUAGGGAUGCCCAGCAUUAAGAAAGUACCAAGGGUGACAAUCAAGUAGCAAUAACAUUGGGAUUUGAAGUAAGGAACUUUUGCACAAAUAGUUCAUUGAUUGGUUACUUUGAAAUAUAGGAAAUAGCAUUGGAAUUUUACCACAAGGGUUAAUUACAAAAACUCCCCUUAAGAUUUGGUUAAAGUUGCAGUUUAUCCCCUAAUGUUUAUUUCUUCUCUUUUUAUCCCCUAUUUCACUCCAAGUCGUUGACUAUUUAAGCAAUUAUAUUGACAAAAAAUGCCCUUUUACAUGGUUUAUAAGGAAGGACCCCGCCCUCCCCCCCCCAAGAUUCUUUGGAUGUACAAAUUAUAAGAUAUGAUUUUUACUUCUAAAUAAUUAUUUUAUUGUAAACUUUUGGAUAAAAUAAAUUUGAAUAUUAAUAUUCUUAAUUUGUUCACAAUCGCCAUGCAUGUAAUUACUUAAAGUGGGUAGAUCAUGAAUUUUGUGAAAAAGGAAGAGAAAUAUGUGUUAUAUGGCAAUUUUUUUGUCAAAAAUUAAGGAAGAGAAAUACGUGUUUUGGUGUAAAAAUUACCUUUUUCAACAAUUCUUGAGUGUAAUACAACACAUUUUUCUCUUCGUUUUCCUCCAAGUUUAAGGUCUACCCACAUAAAAUAAUUACAUGCAUGAUGAUUCUGAGCAGAAAAAAUGCUAUUCAUAAUUCAAUUUAUUUUAUCCAAAAAUUCCAAAAAAAUCUAUGAUAAAAAUUGAAUAUUGUAAUUUGAACAUCCAAAGAGUCUUGUAGUGGUGAUGUGGCAAAUUGUGGUCCACUCGAUUUACAAGUGGGGGCAGUAGACCAAGCCUACACAAUUUUUUGCCUUUCUAUGCAUCUUUGUGCUAUUGGGCUGAGAAUUAACCCUACUUUCACUUUUAUUUUCUGCGCCUUCAUUCUCCGUGUCCUCUUUCCUAUCCCGUCUCCUGUUUCUUAUUUUAGUCUAUUUUAUAUCUUUUUACCUUCACCUCCUAUUUUUCCAAUCUCUCUUUCGUGAAAAUUUUUAAUGGACAAACAAAAUUUUAGUUGGUUUCUUAUCUUUCUUUCAUCUUGAUUUAGUUGGUUCCUUUUCUCUUUAGGUUUGAAUUUUUUCACUUUUACAUAAACAUCCUUUUGAUCUGCAAAAAAGAUAAAAGGGGAACAUAAAUCCGCUGAAAAGAUAUUCUUAGAUCUAUCUAAUACCAGUAAACGCCCUUUAGUAGAAGAAUAAGGAACAUAAAAUUUAUAUUUUUUAUUUUCUCAAUUUUUUAUUUAUUUUUUUCCUCUUUUUUUUUUUGUGUGGUUUUGUGAUGCCCAACCUGAUUCAAUUCAAAAAAAAAUAUGGUACUCGACCUAUAUUAUUUGACUAGAUCGGAGGAGGUUUGGGUACCUGCUUAUAUACUAGGUGGGUUUGGGGUUAGAGGACUGAGAACCUGCAGGGUACUUGACCUGCACCACACAUAUGUUUUUUCAUUUUUACACAUGCAAAAUACUAUUUUAGAGCUAACUAAAUAAUUUCAUUGAGCAAAUUGCACCCCAAAUAUGAGAGAUUAUAAUUUGUUUACAAUAUUCAUUUGUAAAGGUCAUGAUCUUGUGAUUUUUAGAAAAGAGUUCAAUUGAUAUGGAAUACAUAUAAAAUGUUAAUGUUUAUUACAAUUUUCAAUGGUUAUGGAUUCUUUUAAUUUUUUUUCUUUUUCUUGUAUUUUCUUUGCAUGUUUAUUUCUUGGCAUCAGACCUUUUUUAGGUAAAAUCUAAGCUGAAUCAUAGAUGAGUAUGUAAAAUAUAUAAUUAAAUUAGUAUAAAUUAAUUUUUAAUGGAUACCCACUAAUAUGAUCCACUUCUGGCGAGUACUCGAUGACUGAGUAUCCGUUGAUAUGUGGAGUGGGUAAGGACUAGAAAACAACUAAUCCACAAAGUGUGGGUCGGAUUAGUCAAAUCCCGUGUGUCGGGGGAGUAUCAAACCCGUGCUCUGUGCUUCUACCAACUAGAUAAAGGAACAGCUUUAGCUCACCAAGGAGUGCCAAAUAUCGAUACCCUAUUGGAGUGAGCAAAUUUGUUUUAGUUAUCUUGGGGUUUAAGGGAUUAGAAAUGUCCAUUUGAUCUUGGUGUCCAAACUGACAGUUCAAACAAUCCCUUUCUAUUUAGGGUUCAUUUGAUUCAUGUACUGGUUCAGAUAGGAUGACUCAUCUUUGGAUUAUUAAUCCUGGGUUGAGUUAUCUUUGGAUUAAUAACUCAAGUUAUCUAGUGUGUGUUUGGUUCUAAGUUGGAUAGAAUAUAUUGAAAAAUAAUCAUAUUCUAUGUUUGGUUGGAGAUUGGAUGAUAUAGUAUUACUAUUUUAUGACCAAAAUACCCCUUAAUUUGUAUGUUCAUUUUAGUAAAACAAUUUGAUAAUUUAUAACUUUUAUUAAAAUAAAGUAACUUGAAACUUUAGAAUUAUAAAUUAAAUAUUUUAAUAUAUAAAAAUUUGCAUUCACUCAAACUCAACCCAUUUGAGCCUUAAAAAUAGGUUUUAACUUAGUUUUUUAAUCUGAAUUUGAAAUUUAAUUAAAUAAUAGGCUGAGUUUUGGCUAAUUAAGGUUAAAUUCAAUAAAAUUCGACUCAUUUAAGAGUUUUAAAUGAGCCAAGCUCAAGCCAUUAUAGAAAAUUUUUCUCUGCGCUGAGCUUGAGCUUAGUGAAGCCCUCAUUCACAAAUCCUAAUUGAUAAAGUUAUGUGUUUAUAUAGAAUUUGGUUGAGGAAACAAGAUUAGUAAGGGCAACUUAGUUCAAGGGCAAUAUAAUCCUUUUAUUAUUAUGUAAGCAGGGGCAAAUCAGUUAAAAAUUUAAAAUAAUGAAAAAGGGCAAAUUAGUUAAAACUUUUUAAUAUAAUCAGUAGCGGCAAAUUAGUCCAUGUAUUAUCAUAUUAUUAUGUUAGAAUAUGGUUAUAUAAUAUUCAAUAUGAAUUUGUAUCAUACACAAGGGCAAUUUAGUCCAAAUAUUAUUAUGUUGGUAGCAGGGGCAAAUUAGUCAAAAAAAUUUAAAUUAAUUAGUAGGGGCAAAUUAGAUCACUUAUGUUAUAUUAUCAUGUGUGAGUAAGGUUAUAUAACUAUUAGAGUAUAAAUUUAUUUUUUUUUUGUAAAGAUAAGUUAGUUUAAAAUUUUAUCGUCCUAUCUUUUAGUUAUCCCGAGAUGAGAAAUAUUACCUCCCUCAUGGGAUCAUUUUAUUCUAUGAAUAGGGGAUUAAUUUGGUUAGUUGGGAUGUAUCAUCCAUGUAUAAAAUGCAACCAAAUAUGGGAUCAUACAAAAUGAUUAAUCAAAUUUUAUGGUGUCCCAUAAAUCAAAUGGACAUUUUGGGGGUGUAUUGGUAAUAGCAGUCCAAAUGUUUCCAUUUUCUGAAUUGUUUAUGGUUGGAAAGGUGUGAAAAGUCCGUUAGGUCCUUCAAGUACACCUCGAACUUGAAAGGAAAAUUGUUCAAAACAUCCCUUAUAUUUUACAAAAUGAUUUAUUUCGUCCCUCAAUUUUAAAAGUAUAAUUUUUGUACCUUAUAAAUUCACAUUGAUCAAUUUCUGUCCCUACCUAAAUUUUCGACUAGUUUUUUAUCGAAAUAUACCACAUGCCUUGUAUGUGAUUAUUUUUGAAGCGAAAAAUUGUCAAAUCAAAUUUUACAUAAUCUGAUCCAUAGUUUCUCAUAAAAUGAAUUUUAAUUUUUUCAUCCCUCAUCGAUCAUGCAUACGAAUAGAUUUUUUUUUUAGCUCAUGUAUAUAUCUAUUUGAUUUCACCCGAAUAGUACAAAUGGCGUGUAAUAUAUUUGUCUUUCUUUUCACUUACAACUAGAAAUUAGCUUGUUCGAGUGAAAUCAAAUAGAGAUAUAUUACAUAUUAUUUGUACUAUUCAGGUUAAAUCGAAUAGACAUGUACAUGGUUUUCAAAAAUAAGAAAAAAAAAUUUUUUGCACAUGAUUAAUGAGGGAUGAAAAUUUUAUUUUAUGAAACGUGAAGAAGGAAAAAAGUAAUUUUGAGAAAUGAGAGGGACGAAAAAUUUUGUUUGCAAAAUGUAAGGGAAUAUGGAUCAGAUUAUGUAAAAUGUAAUUUGAUAAUUUUUGCCAAAAAAAAAUGAUCGCAUGCAAGGCACGUAGUGGAUUCCGGUCAAAAACUAGUCCGAAACUUGGAUAAGAACUAAAUUUGACUAAUGUGAUUUUUUAAGAGGACGUAAAAUUAUACUUUUAAACGUGAGAGACAAAAAAGGUUAUUUAACAAAAUGUAUGGGACAAAAUGAUUUUCACAAACUUAAAACUUGUUCAUAAACUUUACCAUUUGUUCUGCUGACCUAAUUUUUCUGAUUUGCUACGCUUUCUUCAUAGAUUUUCAUUCUUUCUUUACCCAAAAUUCGGCAACUUUCGGAAGGUAUCUUCACCAUUCGACCUACUCCCACUGAUUUCGGUUAUGCACAGGGCUUAGAUUGGGAUGGAUAUCUUACAAUCGAAUAUGUAUGUACUAUUCAUGUAUGUAUUAGCUAUCUGUCUUUGUUCUUUUUUUUCUUGUUCGAGGGAAAUAAGUGCAGAAUGAUUAUGUAUGUGAUUUCUUGAAAAUGUCCUGCAACUAGGAUACCAUUGACUAACAUCUGAUUGUUGCAUUUAUUGAUAGCAAUCAUGCACUAAUGGCCAAAUAUCGCAUUAAAACAAAGAAUCCUCCUGAUCCAAGGGUCCGUACAAUCAUGCCUGUAACUGUGUGUUUGUUCAAAUGUACAACCUUUCACUUGUUUUAUUUAUGCUCGCAGAUAGUGUAGUGGUAGCUAUCACAGAUAGGAUAGGAAAUCAUCAGUUAAUGGCAGUUUGAAGUGCUGCUUUAAAUCACUACAUCGGCCACAUAUACAAUGGUGUUUGCAUUGUCCUUUAUACAUGCCAAUGAUUAUGUGUCAAAGCAUACUAUUCUUAUUGGCGAUGCAAGCAGACACUAUUCAUCUAUCAGCAGGUCAAGAAGUGAUAUGAGUUUUGGAGAUUUGUGUUCUCUUCUUUAGAGUUAUUGCUAUAAGAUCUGAUAUUGAAGAAGUAUAUUGAUAUCUAAAAUUCUAAUUCUAUAGGACACCACUUUGGAACUGUCGUGGAUUGCUUUUGCCCUCGUUGUAAGUCUCAAGUUGAAGAGUACAAGCAAAGUAUUCUUUAUACAAACCAAGCAGUUGCGUUAUUUGUAGCAUUUGCUGCAGCAUAUGAACUGCAAUUAAGAGUUGUUUGGAUGACAUGAUACUGUUGAAGUAAUACUAGUCUGGAUAUCUUGUAAUCGAAUAUAUAUAUACUGUUCAUUGAACACUUGUACUUUUCUAUCGCAAUUGGUUGCGUGCCCAAUUAUGCUUGUGUUAAACAAUGAGAAAUCUAGUUACCUUGAUUCUGAAUUUUUUAUGUCCUAGCAUGUAGAAUGUUCAGUGUUAAACUGGAAAAGAUAGCUUUAUGCACUUCAAUGUAAAUUAGGCCUUUAAAGGUGUGUUAUUAAGAAGAUUUUUAUGAAAGUAAAACAGAAAAAAAAAAUCAGAUGAGUCAUAUAUGAGCUUCAUAUAUCAGCUGUCUGCCUUUGUUCUGUUUUUUCUUGUUCGAGGGAUAUAAGUGCAGAAUGAUUUGUCCAUGAUGCUUUCAAUAUUUCUUUCAUGAAUUCAGCUAAUUUUUGUCGAAAGUGGAACAUCUAGAUUAUGUAUGUGAUUUCUCAAAUAUGUCCUGCAACUAGCAUACCAUUGACUAACAUCUGAUUGUUGCAUUUAUUGAUAGUAAUAUGCACUAAUGGCCAGAUAUCGCAUUAAAACAGAGGAUCCUCCCGAUCCAAGGGUCUGUACAAUUAUGCCUGUAACUAUGUGUUUGUUCAAACAUACAACCUUUCAUUUGCUUUAUUCAUGCUCGCAGAUAGUGUAGUGGUAGCUAUCUCUUAUAAUGUUGUGACUAAGAUAACUAUAUGCAUGUAGAUAAGAGAAGAUUUAUUUCAUGAGCUUAAGUGGAUGUAUGCUAGUAGAGUUAUUCAAUUAUUUCUUUGCAUAGUUUUAAUUGGAAUGGACAGACUUAGAAUGAACCAUCAACUAAUACUAAUUAAAGCAUCAUAACUGAUUUAAUUAAGUUUAAAUGCUCUUGUUGUUUUGGAAUGUUAGGCCCAUGGAUUGUUGUUAAUUAACCUUAUUUACUAUUUUUCUAAGUUAUAAUGGCUUAAUUUAAUUAUCUUAAUGAUAAGGCACGUGAAGUAGAAAUACUAAACGAAAAUUGCAAGAAUCUCGUAUUGUUAGAGGUAGAAAACUUGUCUAAAGUGACAAGGUUAGGGUCCAAAGCUCUUUUGAGAGCUGAUGUUGCUGCCUUAUUGGCCUAUACAUCUCCGGAGGAUAGGUCUCGUCACAUUUACUUGCUAAAAAACGUGGGUUUUACCUAAUCAGUGAUGAUUGGGUAAAUUGGGAAGAAGUCAAAACGAAGAAAUAUCGUUUCUAUCGAUUUUCAAUACUUGUUUGCUAUGAAAAAAGACAUGGGUGAGACUUAUUUUAUUAUAUCUUCUAUUGUAAAAUUGUUUUUGUGUAUAAUCCUUGUUGUUUAAUUUUAUUUAAUGCAUAUGCAGGUUGACAUUUAACGUUGAUGCCUGUUUUCUAGCGAGCUCUGCAUUGAAAAUCAGUUGUGAUCUUUGUCGAGACUUCCGAGGUGAUGAGAAGAUUGGCUUUCGAAUUUUACAUAUUAAACAUUGUCGAGGAAUUGUGGAAGCUGAAUUGCAGGGGAUAUGGUGUGUAUUAGAAAAAAUAUAUAGUUGUAAAAAGGAAGACGGUCUAUUUACAGUUCUUUGUGACAGCGAAAAAGUUGUAAAAGUUACACUGGGCGAGGAAGUGGACGAAUGCACAAUUAAUGGGAAACUUUUAAGUAUAGCUAUAUGACGAUCUUUUAUAAGCUGUUUUGAAUGUACUUUGAAUUAUUUUUUUUCCUUUUGGAACAGUGCUGUCCGACAAGCAAUAAAAAAGUUCCAAAAAGUCAGUUUUGAAAUUGCUAUCAACCAUGUAUAUCGAGAAAUAAACUGGGCAACGAACGCGUUGGUUGAUAAAGAGAAGGUAUUGUGAAAGAAACAGUUGCCCUUGCAGCAAUCCGGUUCGAUGAAUGAGUCUUUUAACAAGAAAUAUAGUCAUAUUGUGAUAGCUCGGGACAAUAUAGUCAAUAGAUGUAUACAAGAUGAUCGGUGAGACUUAUUAUAUUGUAUAUUUGAUUGUAAAAUCGUUUUUGUGUCUAAUCCUUGUUGUUUAAUUUUUUUAAAUGCAUAUGCAGGUUGACAUUUAACGUUGAUGCCUAUUUUCUAGCGAGCACUGCAUUGAAAAUUAGUUGUGAUCUUUAUCGAGACAUGCUAGGUGAUGAGAAGAUUGGCUUUCAAAUUUAACAUGUUAAACAUUGUCGAGGAAUUGUUGAAGCUAAAUUUCAGUUGAUAUGGCGUGUAUUAGAAAAAAUAUAUGGUUGUAAAAAUGAAGACGGUCAAUUUACAGUUCUUUGUGACAACCAAAAAAUUAUAAAAGUUGCACUGGGCGAGGAAGUGGACGAAUGCACAAUUAAUGGGAAACUUUUAAGUAAAGUUUGGCUGUAUGAUGAUCUUUUAUAAGCUGUUUUGAUUGUACUUUGAAUUACAUUUUUUUUCCCUUUUAGAACAGUGCUAUCCGGCAAGCAACAAAAAAGUUGCAAGCAGCGGGUUUUGAAAUUGCAAUCAACCAUGUAUAUUGAGAAAUGAACUGGGCAAUGAACGCAUUUGUUGAUAAAGAGAAGGUAUUGUGGAAGAAACGGUUGCUCUUGCAGCCAUCCGGUUGGAUGAAUGAGUAUUUUUUAACAGGAAACAUGGUUAUAUUGUGCUAGCUCAGGACAAUAUAGUCAAUAGAUGUAUACAAGAUGAUCGGUGAGACUUAUUUUAUUGUAUAUUUGAUUGUAAAAUUAUUUUUGUGUCUAAUCCUUGUUGUUUAAAUUUUUAAAUGCAUAUGCAGGUUGACAUUUAAUGUUGAUGCCUGUUUUCUAGCGAGCACUGCAUUGAAAAUCAGUUGUGAUCUUUGUCGAGACAUGCUAGGUGAUGAGAAGAUUGGCUUUCGAAUUUUACAGGUUAAACAUUGUUGAGAAAUUGUUGAAGUUGAAUUUCAGGAGAUAUGGUGUGUAUUAGAAAAAAUGUCGUUGUAAAAAGAAAGACGAUCCAUUUAAAGUUCUUUGUGACAACCAAAAAGCAAUAAAAGUUACACUGGGUAAGAAAGUGGACGAAUGCACAGUUAAUAGGGAACUUUUAAGUAAAAUUUGGAUGUAUGAUGAUCUUUAAUAAGCUGUUUUAAUUGUACUUUGAAUUACUUUUUUUCUCUUUUGGAACAGUGUUGUCCGACAAGCAACAAAAAAGUUACAAAAAGCGGGUUUUGAAAUUGCUAUCAACCAUGUAUAUCGAGAAAUGAAUUGGGCAACGAACUCGUUGGUUGAUAAAGAGAAGGUAUUGUGAAAAAAAACGGUUGCCCUUGCAACCUAUCCGGUUCGAUGAAUGAGUCUUUUAACAAGAAACAUGGUCAUACUGUGAUAGCUCGAAACAAUAAAGUCAAUAGAUGUAUAUAAGAUGAUCGGUGAGACUUAUUUUAUUGUAUAUUUGAUUGUAAAAUUAUUUUUGUGUCUAAUCCUUGUUGUUUAAUUUUUUUUAAUGCAUAUGCAGGUUGACAUUUAACAUUGAUGCCUGUUUUCUAGCGAGUUCUGCAUUGAAAAUCAGUUAUGAUCUUUGUCGAGACUUCCGAGGUGAUGAGAAGAUUGGCUUUUGAAUUUUACAUAUUAAACAUUGUCGAGGAUUUGAUAAAAUUGAAUUGCAGGGGAUAUGGUGCGUAUUAGAAAAAAUAUAUGGUUGUAAAAAUGAAGACGGUCCAUUUACAGUUCUUUGUGACAACCCAAAAAUUAUAAAAGUUGCACUGGGCGAGGAAGUGGACGAAUGCACAAUUAAUGGGAAACUUUUAAAUAAAAUUUGGCUGUAUGAUGAUCUUUUAUAAGCUGUUUUGAUUGUACUUUGAAUUACUUUUUUUCCUUUUCGAACAGUGCUGUCCGGCAAGCAACAAAAAAGUUGCAAGAAGCGAAUUUUGAAAUUGCAAUCAACCAUUUAUAUCGAGAAAUGAACUGGGCAAUGAACGCGUUAGUUGAUAAAGAGAAGGUAUUGUGGAAGAAACGGUUGCCCUUGCAGCCAUCCGGUUCGAUGAAUGAGUAUUUUUUAACAGAAAAUUGGGUCAUAUUGUGAUAAUUCAGGACAAUAUAGUCAAUAGAUGUAUACAAGAUGAUCGGUGAGACUUAUUUUAUUGUAUAUUUGAUUGUAAAAUUAUUUUUGUGCCUAGUCCUUGUUGUUUAAAUUUCUUAAUGCAUAUGCAGGUUGACAUUUAAUGUUGAUGCCUGUUUUCUAGCGAGCACUGCAUUGGAAAUCAAUUGUGAUCUUUUUUGAGACAUGCUAGGUGAUGAGAAGACGGGCUUUCGAAUUAUACAGGUUAAACAUUGUCGAGAAAUUGUUGAAAUUGAAAUGCAGGGGAUAUGGUACGCAUUAGAAAAAAUAUAUGGUUUUAAAAAUGAACACGGUCCAUUUACAGUUGUUUGUGACAACCAAAAAAUUAUAAAAGUUGCACUGGGCGAGGAAGUGGACGAAUGCACAUUUAAUGGGAAACUUUUAAAUAAAGUUUGACUGUACGAUGAGCUUUUAUAAGCUGUUUUGAUUGUAUUUUGAAUUAUUUUUUUUUCCUUUUGGAACAGUGCUGUCCGGCAAGCAACAAAAAAGUUGCAAGAAACGAAUUUUGAAAUUGCAAUCAACCAUGUAUAUCGAGAAAUGAACUGGGUAAUGAACGCGUUGGUUGAUAAAAAGAAAGUAUUGUGGAGGAAACGGUUGCCCUUGCAGCCAUUCGGUUCGAUGAAUGAGUAUUUUUUAACAGGAAACAUGGUCAUAUUGUGAUAGUUCAGGACAAUAUAGUCAAUAGAUGUAUACAAGAUGAUCGGUGGGACUUAUUUUAUUGUAUAUUUGAUUGUAAAAUUAUUUUUGUGCCUAGUUCUUGGUGUUUAAAUUUUUUAAUGCAUAUGCAGGUUGACAUUUAUUGUUGAUACCUGUUUUCUAGCAAGCACUACAUUGGAAAUCAGUUGUGAUCUUUGUUGAGACAUGCUAGGUGAUGAGAAGAUUGGCUUUCGAAUUUUACAGGUUAAACAUUGUCGAGAAAUUGUUGAAAUUGAAUUUCAGGGGAUAUGGCGUGUAUUAGAAAAAAUAAGUGGUUGUAAAAAGAAAGACAAUCCAUUUAAAGUUCUUUGUGACAACCAAAAAAUUGUAAAAGUUACACUGGGGGAGAAAGUGGACGAGUGCACAGUUAAUAGGAAACUUUUAAAUAAAAUUUGGCUGUAUGAUGAUCUUUAAUAAGCUGUUUUGAUUGUACUUUGAAUUACUUUUUUUCCCUUUUGGAACAGUGCUGUCCGACAAGCAACAAAAAAGUUGCAAGAAGCGGGUUUUGAAAUUGCUAUCAACCAUGUAUAUCGAGAAAUGAAUUGGACAACGAACUCGUUGGUUGAUAAAGAGAAGGUAUUGUGAAAAAAAACGGUUGCCCUUAGAACCAUCCGGUUCGAUGAAUGAGUCUUUUAACAAGAAACAUAGUCAUAUUGUGAUAGCUCGGGACAAUAUAGUCAAUAGAUGUAUACAAGAUGAUCGGUGAGACUUAUUAUAUUGUAUAUUUGAUUGUAAAAUCGUUUUUGUGUCUAAUCCUUGUUGUUUAAUUUUUUUUGAAUGCAUAUGCAGGUUGACAUUUAACGUUGAUGCCUGUUUUCUAGCAAGCUCUGCAUUGAAAAUCAGUUGUGAUCUUUGUCGAGACUUCCGAGGUGAUGAGAAGAUUGGCUUUUGAAUUUUAUAUAUUAAACAUUGUCGAGGAAUUGACGAAGCUGAAUUGCAGGGGAUAUGGUGCGUAUUAGAAAAAAUAUAUGGUUGUAAAAAUGAAGACGGUCCAUUUACAGUUCUUUGUGACAACCAAAAAAUUAUAAAAGUUGCACUGGGCGAGGAAGUGGACGAAUGCACAAUUAAUGGGAAACUUUUAACUAAAGUUUGGCUAUAUGAUGAUCUUUUAUAAGCUGUUUUGAUUGUACUUUGAAUUACCUUUUUUUCCUUUUGGAACAGUGCUGUCCGGCAAGCAACAAAAAGGUUGCAAGAAGCGAAUUUUGAAAUUGCAAUCAACCAUGUAUAUCGAGAAAUGAACUGGACAAUAAACGCGUUGGUUGAUAAAGAGAAGGUAUUGUGGAAGAAAUGGUUGCCCUUGCAGCCAUCCGGUUCGAUGAAUGAGUAUUUUUUAACAGAAAACAUGGUCAUAUUGUGAUAGUUCAGGACAAUAUAGUCAAUAGAUGUAUACAAGAUCAUCGGUGAGACUUAUUUUAUUGUAUAUUUGAUUGUAAAAUUAUUUUUGCGUCUAAUCCUUGUUGUUUAAUUUUUUUUUAAUGCAUAUGCAGGUUGACAUUUAACGUUGACCCCUGUUUUCUAGCGAGAUCUGCGUUGAAAAUCAGUUGUGAUCUUUGUCGAGACUUCCGAGGUGCUGAGAAGGUUGGCUCUUGAAUUUUACAUAUUAAACAUUGUCGAGAAAUUUUUGAAGCUGAAUUGCAGGGGAUAUGGUGCAUAUUAGAAAAAAUAUAUGGUUGUAAAAAUGAAGACGGUCCAUUUACAGUUCUUUGUGACAACCAAAAAAUUAUAAAAGUUGCACUGGGCGAGGAUGUAGACGAAUGAACAAUUAAUGGGAAACUUUUAAAUAAUGUUUGGCUGUAUGAUGAUCUUUUAUAAGCUGUUUUGAUUGUACUUUAAAUUACUUUUUUUUCCUUUUGGAACAGUGCUUUCCGGCAAGCAAUAAAAAAGUUGCACGAAGCGAAUUUUGAAAUUGCAAUCAACUAUGUCUAUCGAGAAAUGAACUGGGCAAUGAACGCGUUGGUUGAUAAAGAGAAGGUAUUGUGGAAGAAACGGUUGCCUUUGCGGCCAUCCGGUUUGAUGAAUGAGUAUUUUUUAACAGGAAACAUGGUCAUAUUGUGAUAGUUCAGGACAAUAUAGUCAAUAGAUGUAUACAAGAUGAUCGGUGAGACUUAUUUUAUUGUAUAUUUGAUUGUAAAAUUAUUUUUUUUCCUAGUCCUUGUUGUUUAAAUUUCUUAAUGCAUAUGCAGGUUGACAUUUAAUGUUGAUGCCUGUUUUCUAGCGAGCACUGCAUUGGAAAUCAGUUGUGAUCUUUGUUGAGACAUGCUAGGUGAUGAGAAGAUUGGCUUUCGAAUUUUACAAGUUAAACAUUGUCGAGAAAUUGUUGAAAUUGAAAUGCAGGGGAUAUGGUGCGCAUUAGAAAAAAUAUAUGGUUUUAAAAAUGAAGAUGGUCCAUUUACAGUUGUUUGUGACAACCAAAAAAUUAUAAAAGUUGCACCGGGCGAGGAAGUGGACGAAUGCACAAUUAAUGGGAAACUUUUAACUAAAGUUUGGCUGUAUGAUGAUCUUUUAUAAGCUGUUUUGAUUGUACUUUGAAUUACUUUUUUUUUACUUUUGAAACAGUGCUGUCCGGUAAGCAACAAAAAAGUUGCAAGAAGCGGAUUUUGAAAUUGCAAUCAAUCAUGUAUAUCGAGAAAUGAACUGGGCAAUGAACGCGUUGGUUGAUAAUGAAAAGGUAUUGUGGAAGAAACGGUUGCCCUUGCUGCCAUCCGGUUCGAUGAAUGAGUAUUUUUUAACAGGAAACAUGGUCAUAUUGUAAUAGUUCAGAACAAUAUAGUCAAUAGAUGUAUACAAGACGAUCGGUGAGACAUAUUUUAUUGUAUAUUUGAUUGUAAAAUUAUUUUUGGGUCUAGUCCUUGUUGUUUAAAUUUUUUAAUGCAUAUGCAGGUUGACAUUUAAUGUUGCUGCCUGUUUUCUAGCAAGCACUGCAUUGGAUAUCAGUUGUGAUCUUUGUCGAGACAAGCUAGGUGAUGAGAAGAUUGGCUUUCGAAUUUUAAAGGUUAAACAUUGUCGAGAAAUUGUUGAAAUUGAAUUUGAGGGGAUAUUGUCUGUAUUAGAAGAAAUAUGUGGUUGUAAAAAGAAAGACGAUCCAUUUUAAAUUCUUUGUGACAACCAAAAAUCUGUAAAAGUUGCACUGGGUGAGAAAGUGGACGAAUGCACUGUUAAUAGAAAACUUUUAAGUAAAAUUUGGCUGUAAGAUGAUCUUUAAUAAGCUGUUUUGAUUGUACUUUGAAGUACUUGUUUUCUCUUUUGGAAAAGUGCUGUCCGACAUGAAAAAAAAAGUUGCAAGAAGCGGGUUUUGAAAUUGCUAUCAUCCAUGUAUAUCGAGAAAUGAAUUGGGCAACGAACUCGUUGGUUGAUAAAGAGAAGGCAUUGUGAAAAAAAAAACGGUUGCCCUUGCAAUGAUCCGGUUCGAUGAAUUUGUCUUUUAACAAGAAACAUGAUCAUAUUGUGAUAGUUCGGGACAAUAUAGUCAAUAGAUGUAUAUAAGAUGGUCGGUGAGACUUAUUUUAUUGUAUAUUUGAUUGUAAAAUUAUUUUUGUGUCUAAUCUUUGUUAUUUAAUUUUUUUAAUACAUAUGUUGGUUGACAUUUAACGUUGAUGCCUGUUUUAUAGCGAGGUCUGCAUUGAAAAUCAGUUGUGAUCAUUGUCGAGACUUCCGAGGUGAUGAGAAGAUUGGCUUUCAAAUUUUACAUAUUGAACAAUGUCGAGGAAUUGAAGAAGCUGAAUUGCAGGGGAUAUGGUGCGUAUUAGAAAAAAUAUAUGAUUGUAAAAAUGAAGACGGUCCAUUUACAGUUCUUUGUGACAACCCAAAAAUUAUAAAAGUUGCACUGGGCGAGGAAGUGGACGAAUGCACAAUUAAUGGAAAACUUUUAAAUAAAGUUUGGCUGUAUGAUGAUCUUUUAUAAGCUGUUUUGAUUGUACUUUGAAUUACUUUUUUUUCCUUUUGGAACAGUGCUGUCCGGUAAGCAACAAAAAAGUUGCAAGAAGCGAAUUUUGAAAUUGCAAUCAACCAUGUAUAUCGAGAAAUGAAUUGGGCAAUAAACGCGUUGGUUGAUAAAGAGAAGAUAUUGUGGAAGAAACGGUUGCCCUUGCAGCCAUCCGGUUCGAUGAAUGAGUAUUUUUUAACAGGAAACAUGGUCAUAUUGUGAUAGUUCAGAACAAUAUAGUCAAUAGAUGUAUACAAGAUGAUCGGUGAGACUUAUUUUAUUGUAUAUUUGAUUGUAAAAUUAUUUUUGUGUUUAGUCCUUGUUGUUUAAAUUUCUUAAAAGCAGGUUGACAUUUAAUGUUAAUACCUGUUUUCUAGCGAGCACUGCAUUGGAAUUCAGUUGUGAUCUUUGUUGAGACAUACUAGGUGAUGAGAAGACUGGCUUUUAAAUUUUACAUGUUAAACAUUGUGAUUGUUCAGGGGAUAUGGUGUGUGUUAGAAAAAAUAUGUGGUUGGAAAAAGGAAGACGAUCCAUUUAAUAUUUUUUGUGACAACCAAAAAACUGUAAAAGUUGCACUGGGGGAGAAAGUGGACGAAUGCACAGUUAAUAGGAAACUUCUAAGUAAAAUGUGGCUGUAUGAUGAUCUUUAAUAUGCUGUUUUGAUUGUACUUUGAAUUGAUUUUUUUCCCUUUUGAAACAGUGCUGUCCGACAAGCAACAAAAAAGUUGCAAGAAGCGGGUUUUGAAAUUUCUAUCAACCAGGUAUAUCGAGAAAUGAAUUGGGCAACGAACUCGUUGGUUGAUAAAGAGCAGGUAUUGUGAAAAAAAACGGUUGCCCUUGCAACGAUCCGGUUCGAUGAAUGAAUCUUUUAACUAGAAACAUGAUCAUAUUGUGAUAACUCGGGACAAUACAGUCAAUAGAUGUAUAUAAAAUGACCGGUGAGACGUAUUUUAUUGUAUAUGUGAUUGUAAAAUUAUUUUUGUGUCUAAUACUUGUUGUUUAAAUUUUUUUAAUGCAUAUGCAAGUUGACAUUUAAUGUUGAUGCCUGUUUUCUAGCGAGCACUGCAUUGGGUAUCAGUUGUGAUCUUUGUCGAGACAUGCUAGGUGAUGAGAAGAUUGGCUUUCGAAUUUUACAUAUUAAACAUUGUCGAGAAAUUGUUGAAGUUGAAUUUCAGGGAAUAUUGUGUGUAUUAGAAAAAAUAUGUGGUUGUAAAAAGAAAGACGAUCCAUUUAAAGUUCUUUGUGACAACCAAAAAGCUGUAAAAGUUGCACUGAGUGAGAAAGUGGACGAUUAGACAGUUAAUAGGAAACUUUUAAGUAAAAUUUGGCUGUAUGAUGAUCUUUAAUAAGCUGUUUUGAUUGUACUUUGAAUUACUUUUUUUUACUUUUGGAACAGUGCUGUCCGGCAUACAACAAAAAAGUUGCAAGAAGCGGAUUUUGAAAUUGCAAUCAACCAUGUAUAUCGAGAAAUGAACUGGGCAAUGAACGCGUUGGUUGAUAAAGAGAGGGUAUUGUGGAAGAAAUGGUUGCCCUUGCAGCCAUCCGGUUCGAUGAAUGAGUAUUUUUUAACAGUAAACAUGGUCAUAUUGUGAUUGUUCAGGACAAUAUAGUCAAUAGAUGUAUACAAGAUGAUCGGUGAGACUUCUUUUAAUGUAUAUUUGAUUGUAAAAUUAUUUUUGUGCCUAGUCCUUGUUGUUUAAAUUUUUUAAUGCAUAUGCAGGUUGACAUUUAAUGUUGAUGCCUGUUUUCUAGCGAGCACUGCAUUGGAUAUCAGUUGUGAUCUUUGUCGAGACAUGCAAGGUGAUGACAAAAUUGGCUUUCGAAUUUUAAAGGUUAAACAUUGUCGAGAAAUUGUUAAAGUUGAAUUUCAGGGGAUAUUGUGUGUAUUAGAAAAAAUAUGUGGUUGUAAAAAGAAAGAUGAUCCAUUUUAAAUUCUUUGUGACAACCAAAAAGCAAUAAAAGUUACACUGGGUAAGAAAGUGGACGAAUGCACAGUUAAUAGGAAACUUUUAAGUAAAAUUUGGCUGUAUGAUGAUCUUUAAUAAGCUGUUUUGAUUAUACUUUGAAGUACUUUUUUUCUCUUUUGGAAAAGUGCUGUCCGACAAUGAGCAAAAAAGUUGCAAGAAGCGGGUUUUGAAAUUGCUAUCAUCCAUGUAUAUCGAGAAAUGAAUUGGGCAACGAACUCGUUGGUUGAUAAAGAGAAGGCAUUGUGAAAAAAAAAACGGUUGCCCUUGCAACGAUCCGGUUCGAUGAAUUUAUCUUUUAACAAGAAACAUGGUCAUAUUGUGGUAGUUCGGGACAAUAUUGUCAAUUGAUGUAUAUAAGAUGGUCGGUGAGACUUAUUUUAUUGUAUAUUUGAUUGUAAAAUUUUUUUUGUUUCUAAUCUUUGUUGUUUAAUUUUUUUAAUACAUAUGCUGGUUGACAUUUAACGUUGAUGCCUGUUUUAUAGCGAGCUCUGCAUUGAAAAUCAGUUGUGAUCAUUGUCGAGACUUCCGAGGUGAUGAGAAGAUUGGCUUUCGAAUUUUACAUAUUGAACAAUAUCGAGGAAUUGAAGAAGCUGAAUUGCAGGGGAUAUGGUGCGUAUUAGAAAAAAAAUAUGAUUGUAAAAAUUAAGACGGUCCAUUUACAGUUCUUUGUGACAACCCAAAAAUUAUAAAAGUUGCACUGGGCGAGGAAGUGGACGAAUGCACAAUUAAUGGAAAAAUUUUAAAUAAAGUUUGGCUGUAUGAUGAUCUUUUAUAAGCUGUUUUGAUUGUACUUUGAAUUACUUUUUUUUCCUUUUGGAACAGUGGUGUCCGAUAAGCAACAAAAAAGUUGCAAGAAGCGAAUUUUGAAAUUGCAAUCAACCAUUUAUAUCGAGAAAUGAACUGGGCAAUGAAUGCGUUGGUUGAUAUAGAGAAGGUAUUGUGGAAGAAACGGUUGCCCUUGCAGCCAUCCGGUUCGAUGAAUGAGUAUUUUUUAACAGGAAACAUGGUCAUAUUGUGAUAUUUCAGGACAAUAUAGUCAAUAGAUGUAUACAAGAUGAUCUGUGAGACUUAUUUUAUUGUAUAUUUGAUUGUAAAAUUAUUUUUGUGUCUAAUCUUUGUUGUUUAAAUUUUUUUAAUGCAUAUGCUAGUUGACAUUUAAUGUUGAUGCCUAUUUUCUAGCGAGCACUGCAUUGGGUAUCGGUUGUGAUCUUUGUCGAGACAUGCUAGGUGAUGAGAAGAUUGGCUUUCGAAUUUUACAGGUUAAACAUUGUCGAGAAAUUGUUGAAGUUGAAUUUCCAGGGAUAUUGUGUGUAUUGGAAAAAAUAUGUGGUUGUAAAAAGAAAGACGAUCCAUUUAAAGUUCUUUGUGACAACCAAAAAUCUGUAAAAGUUGCACUGGGUGAGAAAGUGGACGAAUGCACAGUUAAUAGGAAACUUUUAAGUAAAAUUUGGCUGUAUGAUUAUCUUUAAUAAGCUGUUUUGAUUGUAUUUUGAAUUACUUUUUUUUACUUUUGGAACAGUACUGUCCGGCAAACAACAAAAAAGUUGCAAGAAGCGAAUUUUGAAAUUGCAAUCAACCAUGUAUAUCGAGAAAUGAACUGGGCAAUGAACGCAUUGGUUGAUAAAGAGAAGGUAUUGUGGAAGAAACGAUUGACCUUGCAGCCAUCCGGUUCGAUGAAUUUGUAUUUUUUAAAAGGAAACAUGGUCAUAUUGUGAUAGUUCAGGACAAUAUAGUCAAUAGAUGCAUACAAGAUGAUCGGUGACACUUAUUUUAUUAUAUAUUUGAUUGUAAAAUUAUUUUUGUUCCUUGUCCUUGUUGUUUAAAUUUUUUAAUGCAUAUGCAGGUUGACAUUUAAUGUUGAUGCCUGUUUUCUAGCGAGCACUGCAUUGGAUAUCAGUUGUGAUCUUUGUCGAGGCAUGCUAGGUGAUAAGAAGAUUGGCUUUCGAAUUUUAAAUGUUGAACAUUGUCGAGAAAUUGUUGAAGUUGAAUUUCAGGGGUUAUUGUGUGUAUUAGAAAAAAUAUGUGGUUGUAAAAAGAAAGAUGAUCCAUUUAAAGUUCUUUGUGACAACCAAAAAGCAGUAAAAGUUACACUGGGGGAGAAAGUGGACGAAUGCACAGUUAAUAGGAAACUUUUAAGUAAAAUUUGGCUGUAUGAUGAUCUUUAAUAAGCUGUUUUGAUUGUACUUUGAAUUACUUUUUUUCCCUUUUGGAACAGUGCUGUCCAACAAGCAUCAAAAAAGUUCCAAGAAGCGGGUUUUGAAAUUGCUAUCAACCAUGUAUAUCGAGAAAUGAAUUGGGCGACAAACUUUUCGGUUGAUAAAUUGAAGGUAUUGUGAAAAAAAGCGCUUGCCGUUGCAACGAUCCGGUUCGAUGAAUGAGUCUUUUAACAAGAAACAUAGUCAUUUUGUGAUAUCUCGGGACAAUAUAGUCAAUAGAUGUAUACAAGAUGAUCGGUGAUACUUAUUAUAUUGUAUAUUUGAUUGUAAAAUCGUUUUUGUGUCUAAUCCUUGUUGUUUAAUUUUUUUACAUGCAUAUGCAGGUUUACAUUUAACGUUGGUGCCUGUUUUCUAGCGAGCUCUGCAUUGAAAAUCAGUUGUGAUCUUUGUCGAGACUUCCGAGGUGAUGAGAAGAUUGGCUUUUGAAUUUUAUAUAUUAAACAUUGUCGAGAAAUUGAUGAAGCUGAAUUGCAGGGGAUAUGGUGCGUAUUAGAAAAAAUAUAUGGUUGUAAAAAUGAAAACGGUCCAUUUACAGUUCUUUGUGACAACCAAAAAAUUAUAAAAGUUGCACUGGGCGAGGAUGUGGACGAAUGCACAAUUAAUGGGAAACUUUUGACUAAAGUUUGGCUGUAUGAUGAUCUUUUAUAAGCUGUUUUGAUUGUACUUUGAAUUACUUUUUUUGCCUUUUGGAACAGUGCUGUCUGGCAAGCAACAAAAAGGUUGUAAGAAGUGAAUUUUGAAAUUGCAAUUAACCAUGUAAAUCGAGAAAUGAACUGGACAAUGAACGCGUUGGUUGAUAAAGAGAAGGUAUUGUGGAAGAAACGGUUGCCCUUGCAGCCAUUCGAUUCGAUGAAUGAGUAUUUUUUAACAGAAAAUACUGUCAUAUUGUGAUAGUUCAGGACAAUAUAGUCAAUAGAUGUAUACAAGAUGAUCGGUGAGACUUAUUUUAUUGUAUAUUUGAUUGUAAAAUUAUUUUUGUGUCUAAUCCUUGUUGUUUAAUUUUUUUUAAUGCAUAUGCAGGUUGACAUUUAAUGUUGACCCCUGUUUUCUAGCGAUCUCUGCAUUGAAAAUCAGUUGUGAUCUUUGUCGAGACUUCCGAGUUGCUGGGAAGAUUGGCUCUUGAAUGUUACAUAUUAAACAUUGUCGAGAAAUUUAUGAAGCUGAAUUGCUGGGGAUACGGUGCAUAUUAGAAAAAAUAUAUGGUUGUAAAAAUGAAGACGGUCCAUUUACAGUUCUUUGUGACAACCAAAAAAUUAUAAAAGUUGCACUGGGCAAGGAAAUGGACGAAUGCACAAUUAAUGGAAAACUUUUAAAUAAAGUUUGGCUGUAUGAUGAUCUUUUAUAAGCUGUUUUGAUUGUACUUUGAAUUACUUUUUUUCCUUUUGGAACAGUGCUUUCCGGCAGGCAACAAAAAAGUUGCAAGAAGCGAAUUUUGAAAUUGCAAUCAACCAUGUCUAUCGAGAAAUGAACAGGGCAAUGAACGCGUUGGUUGAUAAAGAGAAGGUAUUGUGGAAGAAACGGUUGCCCUUGCUGCCAUCCGGUUCGAUGAAUGAGUAUUUUUUAACAGGAAACAGGGUCAUAUUGUGAUAGUUCAGGACAAUAUAGUCAAUAGAUGUAUACUAGAUGAUCGGUGAGACUUAUUUUAUUGUAUAUUUGAUUGCAAAAUUAUUUUUUUGCCUAGUCCUUGUUGUUUAAAUUUCUUAAUGCAUAUGCAGGUUGACAUUUAAUGUUGAUGCCUGUUUUCUAGCGAGCACUGCAUUGAAAAUCAGUUGUGAUCUUUGUUGAGACAUGCUAGGUGAUUAGAAGAUUGGCUUUCGAAUUUUACAGGUUAAACAUUGUCGAGAAAUUGUUGAAAUUGAAAUGCAGGGGAUAUGGUAUGCAUUAGAAAAAAUAUAAGGUUUUAAAAAUGAAGACGGUCCAUUUACAGUUGUUUGUGACAACCAAAAAAUUAUAAAAGUUGCACUGGGCGAGUAAGUGGACGAAUGCACAAUUAAUGGGAAACUUUUAAAUAAAGUUUGACUGUACGAUGAUCUUUUAUAAGCUGUUUUGAUUGUACUUUGAAUUACUUUUUUUUUCCUUUUGCAACAGUGCUGUCCGGCAAGCGACAAAAAAGUUGCAAGAAACGAAUUUUGAAAUUGCAAUCAACCAUGUAUAUCGAGAAAUGAAUUGGGUAAUGAACGCGUUUGUUGAUAAAGUGAAGGUAUUGUGGAGGAAACGGUUUUUCCUUGCGGCCAUUCGCUUCGAUGAAUGAGUAUUUUUAAACAGGAAACAUGGUUAUAUUGUGAUAGUUCAGGACAAUAUAGUAAAUAGAUGUAUACAAGAUGAUCGGUGGGACUUAUUUUAUUGUAUAUUUGAUUGUAAAAUUAUUUUUGUGCCUAGUCCUUGUUGUUUAAAUUUUUUAAUGCAUAUGCAGGUUGACAUUUAAUGUUGAUACUUGUUUUCUAGCGAGCACUGCAUUGGAAAUCAGUUGUGAUCUUUGUUGAGACAUGCUAGGUGAUGAGAAGAUUGGCUUUCGAAUUUUACAGGUUAAACAUGGUCGAGAAAUUGUUGAAAUUGAAUUUCAGGGGAUAUGGUGUGUAUUAGAAAAAAUGUGUGGUUAUAAAAAGAAAGACAAUCCAUUUAAAGUUCUUUGUGACAAUCAAAAAGCUGUAAAAGUUGCACUGGGUGAGAAAGUGGGCGAAUGUACAGUUAAUAGGAAACUUUUAAGUAAAAUUUGGCUGUAUGAUUAUAUUUAAUAAGUUGUUUUGAUUGUACUUUGAAUUAAUUUUUUCCCUUUUGGAACAGUGCUGUCCGGCAAGCAACAAAAAAGUUGCAAGAAGCGAAUUUUGAAAUUGCAAUCAACCAUGUAUUUCGAGAAAUGAAUUGGACAAUGAACGCGUUGGUUGAUAAAGAAAAGGUAUUGUGGAAGAAACGGUUGCCCUUGCAGCCAUCCGGUUGGAUGAAUGAGUAUUUUCUAACAGAAAACAUGGUCAUAUUGUGAUAGUUCAGGUCAAUAUAGUCAAUAGAUGUAUACAAGAUGAUCGGUGAGACUUAUUUUAUUGUAUAUUUGAUUGUAAAAUUAUCUUUGUGUCUAAUUCUUGUUGUUUAAUUUUUUUUAAUGCAUAUGCAGGUCGACAUUUAACGUUGACCUCUGUUUUCUUGCGAGCUCUGCAUUGAAAAUCAGUUGUGAUCUUUGUCGAGACUUCUGAGGUGUUGAGAAGAUUGGCUUUUAAAUUUUACAUUUUAAACAUUGUCGAGGAAUUUAUGAAGAUGAAUUGCAGGGGAUGUGGUGCGCAUUAGAAAAAAUAUGUGGUUUUAAAAAUGAAGACGGUCCAUUUACAGUUGUUUGUCACAACCAAAAAAUUAUAAAAGUUGCACCGGGCGAGGAAGUGGACGAAUGCACAAUUAAUGGGAAACUUUUAACUAAAGUUUGGCUGUAUGAUGAUCUUUUAUAAGCUGUUUUGAUUGUACUUUGAAUUACUUUUUUUUCCUUUUGGAACAGUGCUGUCCGGCAAGCAACAAAAAGGUUGCAAGAAGCGAAUUUUGAAAUUGCAAUUAAUCAUGUAAAUCGAGAAAUGAACUGGACAAUGAACGCGUUGGUUGAUAAAGAGAAGGUAUUGCGGAAGAAACGGUUGCCCUUGCAGCCAUUCGGUUCGAUGAAUGAGUAUUUUUUAACAGAAAAUAUGGUCAUAUUGUGAGUGUUCAGGACAAUAUAGUCAAUAGAUGUAUACAAGAUGAUCGGUGAAACUUAUUUUAUUGUUUAUUUGAUUGUAAAAUUAUUUUUGUGCCUAGUCCUUGUUUAAAUUUUUUAAUGCAUAUGCAGGUUGACAUUUAAUGUUGAUGCCUGUUUUCUAGCGAGCACUGCAUUGGAUAUCAGUUGUGAUCUUUGUCGAGACAUGCUAGGUGAUGAGAAGAUUGGCUUUCGAAUUUUACAGGUUAAACAUUGUCGAGAAAUUGUUGAAGUUGAAUUUCAGGGAAUAUUGUGUGUAUUAGAAAAAAUAUGUGGUUGUAAAAAGAAAGACGAUCCAUUUAAAGUUCUUUGUGACAACCAAAAAGCUGCAAAAGUUGCACUGGGUGAGAAAGUGGACGAAUGCACAGUUAAUAGGAUCUUUUAAGUAAAAUUUGGCUGUAUGAUGAUCUUUAAUAAGCUGUUUUGAUUGUACUUUGAAUUACUUUUUUUUACUUUUGGAACAGUGCUGUCCGGCAAGCAACAAAAAAGUUACAAGAUGCGGAUUUUGAAAUUGCAAUCAAUCAUGUAUAUCGAGAAAUGAACUGGGCAAUGAACGCGUUGGUUGAUAAAGAAAAGGUAUUGUGGAAGAAACGGUUGCCCUUGCAGCCAUUCGGUUCGAUGAAUGAGUAUUUUUUAACAGGAAACAUUGUCAUAUUGUGAUAGUUCAGAACAAUAUAGUCAAUAGAUGCAUACAAGACGAUCGGUGAGACUUAUUUUAUUGUAUAUUUGAUUGUAAAAUUAUUUUUGUGUAUAGUCCUUGUUGUUUAAAUUUUUUAAUGCAUAUGCAAGUUGACAUUUAAUGUUGAUGCCUGUUUUCUAGCGAGCACUGCAUUGGAUAUCAGUUGUGAUCUUUGUCGAGACAUGAUAGGUGAUGAGAAGAUUGGCUUUCGAAUUUUAAAGGUUAAACAUUGUCGAGAAAUUGUUGAAUUUGAAUUUAAGGGGAUAUUGUGUGUAUUAGAAAAAAUAUGUGGUUGUAAAAAGAAAGACGAUCCAUUUUAAAUUCUUUGUGACAACCAAAAAGCUGUAAAAGUUGCACUGGGUGAGAAAGUGGACGAAUGCACAGUUAAUAGGAAACUUUUAAGUAAAAUUUGGCUGUAUGAUGAUCUUUAAUAAGCUGUUUUGAUUAUACUUUGAAGUACUUUUUUUCUCUUUUGGAAAAGUGCUGUCCGACAAUGAGCAAAAAAGUUGCAAGAAGCGGGUUUUGAAAUUGCUAUCAUCCAUGUAUAUCGAGAAAUGAAUUGGGCAACGAACUCGUUGGUUGAUAAAGAGAAGGCAUUGUGAAAAAAAAAACGGUUGCCCUUGCAACGAUCCGGUUCGAUGAAUUUAUCUUUUAACAAGAAACAUGGUCAUAUUGUGGUAGUUCGGGACAAUAUUGUCAAUUGAUGUAUAUAAGAUGGUCGGUGAGACUUAUUUUAUUGUAUAUUUGAUUGUAAAAUUAUUUUUGUGUCUAAUCUUUGUUGUUUAAUUUUUUUAAUACAUAUGCUGGUUGACAUUUAACGUUGAUGCCUCUUUUAUAGCGAGCUCUGCAUUGAAAAUCAGUUGUGAUCAUUGUCGAGACUUCCGAGGUGAUGAGAAGAUUGGCUUUCGAAUUUUACAUAUUGAACAAUAUCGAGGAAUUGAAGAAGCUGAAUUGCAGGGGAUAUGGUGCGUAUUAGAAAAAAAAUAUGAUUGUAAAAAUGAAGACGGUCCAUUUACAGUUCUUUGUGACAACCCAAAAAUUAUAAAAGUUGCACUGGGCGAGGAAGUGGACGAAUGCACAAUUAAUGGGAAACUUUUAAAUAAAGUUUGGCUGUAUGAUGAUCUUUUAUAAGCUGUUUUGAUUGUACUUUGAAUUACUUUAUUUUUCUUUUGGAACAGUGCUGUCCGGCAAGCAACAAAAAAGUUGCAAGAAGCGAAUUUUGAAAUUGCAAUCAACCAUGUAUAUCGAGAAAUGAACUGGGCAAUGAACGCGUUGGUUGAUAAAGAAAAGGUAUUGUGGAAGAAACGGUUGCCCUUGCAGCCAUCCGGUUCGAUGAAUGAGUAUUUUUUAACAGGAAACAUGGUCAUAUUGUGAUAGUUCGGGACAAUAUAGUCAAUAGAUGUAUACAAGAUGAUCGGUGAGACUUAUUUUAUUGUAUAUUUGAUUGUAAAAUUAUUUUUCUGCCUAAUCCUUGGUGUUUAAAUUUUUUAACGCAUAUGCAGGUUGACAUUUAUUGUUGAUGCCUGUUUUCUAACGAGCACUGCAUUGGAUAUCAGUUGUGAUCUUUGUCGAGACAUGCUAGGUGAUGAGAAGAUUGGCUUUCUAAUUUUACAGGUUAAACAUUGUCGAGAAAUUGUUGAAGUUGAAUUUCAGGAGAUAUGGUGUGUAUUUGAAAAAAUAUUUGGUUGUAAAAAGAAAGACGAUCCAUUUAAAAUUCUUUGUGACAACUAAAAAGCUAUAAAAGUUGCACUGGGUGAGAAAGUGAACAAAUGCACAGUUAAUAGGAAACUUUUAAGUAAAAUUUGGUAGUAUGAUGAUCUUUAAUAAGCUGUUUUGAUUGUACUUUAAAUUACUUUUUUUCCCUUUUGGAACAGUGCUGUCCAACAAGCAACAAAAAAGUUGCAAGAAGCGGGUUUUGAAAUUGCUAUCAACCAUGUAUAUCGAGAAAUGAAUUGGGCAACGAACUCGUUGGUUGAUAAAGAGAAGGUAUUAUGAAGUAAAACGGUUGCCCUUGCAACAAUCUGGUUCGAUGAAUGAGUCUUUUAACAAGAAACAUGGUCAUAUUGUGAUAACUCGGGACAAUAUAGUCAAUAGAUGUAUAUAAGAUGAUCGGUGAGACUUAUUUUAUUGUAUAUUUGAUUGUAAAAUUGGUUUUGUGUCUAAUUCUUGUUGUUUAAUUUUUUUCAUGCAUAUGUAGGUUGACAGUUAACAUUGAUGCCUGUUUUCUAGCAAACUCUACAUUGAAAAUCAGUUGUGAUCUUUGUCGAGACUUCCGAGGUGAUGAGAAGAUUGGCUUUCGAAUUUUACAUAUUAAACAUUGUCGAGGAAUUGAUGAAACUCAAUUGCAGGGGACAUGGUGCGUAUUAGAAAAAAUAUAUGGUUAUAAAAAGGAAGACGGUCCAUUUACAUCUUUUUGUGACAACCAAGAAGUUGUAAAUGUUGCAUUGGGGAAGGAAGUGGACGAAUGCACAGUUAAUAGGGAACUUUUAAGGUAAGUUUGGCUGUAUGACGAUCUUUUAUAAGCUGUUUUGAUUGUACUUUGAAUUGUUUUUUUUUCCUUUUGGAACAGUACAGUCCGGCAAGCAAUAAAAAAGUUGCAGGAAACGAAUUUUGAAAUUGCUAUCGAUCAUGUAUAUCGAAAAAUAAACAGGACAACGAACACGUUGGUUAAUAAAGAGAAGGUAUUGUUGAAGAAACGGUUACCCUUGCAGCCAUCCGAUUCGAUGAAUGAGUCUUGUAACAAGAAAUAUAGUCAUAUCCUGAUAGUUCAGCGCAAUAUAGUCAAUAAAGGUAUACAAGAUGAUCGGUGAGACUUAUUUUAUUAUAUAUUUUAUUGUAAAAUUAUUUUUGUGUCUAAUCCUUGUUGUUUAAUUUUUUUUAAUGCAUAUGCAGGUUGACAUUUAACUUUGAUGCCCGUUUUCUAGUGAGCACUGCAUUGAAAAUCAGUCGUGAUCUUUGUCGAGACUUGCUAAGUGAUGAGAAGAUUAUCUUUCGAAUUAUACAUGUUAAACAUUGUCGAGAAAUCGCUGAAACUAAAUUGCAAGGGAUGUGUUGUGUAUUAGAAAAAUAUACGGUUGUAAAAAGGAAUGCGAUCCAUUUGCAGUUCUUUGUGACAACCAAAAAGUUAUAAAAGUUGCACUGGUCGAGGAAGUGGAUGAAUGCACAGUUAAUGGCAACUUUUUAGGUAAGUUUGGUUGUAUGACAAUUUUUUAUAAGAUGUUUUGAUUGUACUUUGAAUUGAUUUUUUUUUCCCUUUGGGAACAGUGCUAUCUGGCAAGUAAUAAAAAAGUUGCAAAAAACGGGUUUUGAAAUUGCUAUCAACCAUGUAUAUUGAGAAAUGAAUUGGGCAACGAACGCGUUGGUUGAUAAAGAGAAAGUAUUGUGAAAAAAACGGUUGCCCUUGCAGCUAUCCGAUUUGAUGAAUGAGUCUUUUAACAAGAAACAUGGUCAUAUUGUAAUAACUCAGAACAAUAUAGUCAAUAGAUGUAUAUAAGAUGAUCGGUGAGACUUAUUUUAUUGUAUUUUUUAUUAUAAAAUUGUUUUUGCGUCUAAUCCUUGUUGUUUAAUUUUUUUCAUGCAUAUGCAGGUUGACAUUUAACGUUGAUGUCUGUUUUCUAGCGAGCUCUGUAUUGAAAAUCAGUUGUGAUCUUUGUCGAGACUUCCGAGAUGAUGAGAAGAUUGGCUUUCGAAUUUUACAUAUUAAAUAUUGUUGAGGAAUUGAUGAAGCUGAAUUUCAGGGAAUAUGGUGCGUAUUAGAAAAAAUAUAUGGUUGUAAAAAGAAAAACUGUCCAUUUUCAUCUUUUUGUGACAACCAAAAAGUUGUAAAUGUUGCACUAGGCAAGGAAGUGGACGAAUGCACAGUUAAUGGGGAACUUUUAAGGUAAGUUUGGCUGUAUGACGAUCUUUUAUAAACUGUUUUGAUUGUACUUUGAAUUUUUUUUUUCCUUUUGGAACAGUGCAGUCCGGCAAACAACAAAAAAGUUGCAGGAAACGGGUUUUGAAAUUGCUAUCAACCAUGUAUAUCGAGAAAUAAACUGGGCAACGAACGCGUUGGUUGAUAAAGUGAAUGUAUUGUAGAAGAAACGGUUGCCCUUGCAGCCAUCCAGUUCCAUGAAUGAGUCUUAUAACAAGAAACAUAGCCAUAUUUUGAUAGUUCAGCAAAAUAUAGUCAAUAAAGGUAUACAAGAUGAUCGGUGAGACUUAUUUUAUUGUAUAUUUGAUUGUAAAAGUAUUUUUGUGUCUAAUCUUUGUUGUUUAAUUUUUUUAAUGCAUAUGCAGAUUGGCAUUUAACGUUGAUGCCUGUUUUCGAGCGAGCACUGCAUUGGAAAUCAGUCGUGAUUUUUGUCGAGACUUGCUAAGUGAUGAGAAGAUUGGCUUUCGAAUUUUACAUGUUAAACAUUGUCGAGAAAUUGCUUAAACUAAAUUGCAGGGGAUAUGUUGUGAAUUAGAAAAAAUAUACGGUUGUAAAAAGGAAUGCGGUCCAUUUACAAUUCUUUGUGACAACCAAAAAAUUGUAAAAGUUGCACUGGGCGAGGAAGUGGACGAAUGCACGGUUAUUGGAAAACUUUUAAGGUUGGUUUGGCUGUAUGACGAUAUUUUAUAAGCUGUUUUGAUUGUAUUUUGAAUUAUUUUUUUCCCUUUGGGAACAGUGCUGUUCGGCAAGUAACAAAAAAGUUACAAGAAACGGGUUUUGAAAUUGCUGCCAACCAUGUUCAUCUAGAAAUGAACAGGGCAAUGAACACGUUGGUUGAUAAAGAGAAUGUAUUGUGGAAGAAACAGUUGCCCUUGCAACUAUCCGGUUAGAUGAAUGAGUCUUUUAACAAGAAAAAUGGUCAUAUUGUGAUACCUCAGGACAAUAUAGUCAAUAGAUGUAUAUAAGAUGAUCGUUGAGACUUAUUUUAUUGUAUAUUUGAUUUUAAAAUUAUUUUUGUGUUUAAUCCUUGUUGUUUAAUUUUUUUUAAUGCAUAUGCAGGUUGACAUUUAACGUUGAUACCUGUUUUCUAGCCAGCUCUGCAUUGGAAAUCAGUUGUGAUCUUUGUCGAGACUUCCGAGGUGAUGAGAAGAUUGGCUUUCGAAUUUUACAUGUUAAACAUUGUCGAGGAAUUGAUGAAGCUGAAUUGCAGGUGAUAUGGUGUGUAUUAGAAAAUAUAUAUGGUUGUAAAAAGGAAGACGGCCCAUUUACAUCUCUUUGUGACAACCAAAAAGUUGUAAAUAUUGCACUGGGCAAAGAAGUGGACGAAUGCACAGUUAAUGGGGAACUUUUAAGGUAAGUUUGGCUGUAUGACGAUCUUUUAUAAGCUGUUUUGAUUGUACUUUGAAUUGCUUUUUUUUUCCCUUUUGGAAUAGUGCUGUCCGGCAAAUAACAAAAAAGUUGCAAGAAGCGGGUUUUGAAAUUACUAUCAACCAUAUAUAUCGAGAAAUGAACUAGGCAACGAACGCGUUGAUUGAUAAAGAGAAGGUAUUGUGGAAGAAACGGUUGCCCUUGCAGCCAUCCGGUUCGAUAAAUGAGUCUUUUAACAAGAAACAUGGUCAUAUUGUGAUAAUUCAGGACAAUAUAGUCAAUAGAUGUAUAAAAGAUGACAAAAAUAAUCUCAAAUACUUACAUAUCUUCCUGGGAAAAUUUUAGAUGACAAAAAUGGAGGAAGAAAAAAAUAGGAAGAUAUAUGCUGAGCAAGAGGAGGACAAAGGAGAAUUUUUAGGAGGUGAAGGAAGAGGAGGAGAAAAUAGUAUAGGAAAGUCCAUCGAAAUUGAGCAUGCCCUUUUAAAUGAUAGUGAGUACGAAUUUGUUGCAUUUGUAAAUGGGACCGUAGACGGUGACUGGGAGGUGUCUGAACAGAUUUUAGAAAAGAUGUUUAAAUUUGAUGCUGUGAAGUGUCUUGCUACCGUGUUGAAAGAUAAAUCUAGUGGGUGUUUUGACAUCCAUAAACAAUUUAGUUUGCUGGUUGUAGUUAACCUCCUCUAUUGCAUUGAAAACAUUUAAAACAUUGAAUAAUUGAAUAAAACAUUUAAAACAUUUAAAACACAAAUUAAACAUCUUUAAACUGUACAUUCAAUGGACCGUCUUCCUUUUUACAACAAUAUAUAUUUUCUCAUACACACCAUAUCUCCUGCAAUUCAGCUUCUACAAUUUCUUGAUAAUGUUUAACAUGUAAAAUUCGAAAGCCAAUCUUCUCAUCACCUAGCAAGUCUCGGCAAAGAUCACAAUUGAUUCCCAAUGCAGUGCUUGAUAGAAAACAGGCGACAACAUUAAAUGUCAACCAGCAUAUGCAUGAAAAAAAUUAAACAACAAGGAUUAGACACAAAAACAAUUUUACAAUAAAAAAUAUAAUAAAAUAAGUCUCACCCAGGUCUUUUUUUGUAGCAAACAAGUAUUGAAAAUCAGUAGAAACGAUAUUUCUUCAUUUUGACUUCUUUCAAAUUUACCCAAUCAUCACUAAUUAGGUAAAACCAGCGAUUUUUAGCAAGUAAAUGAGACGAGACCUAUCUUCCAAAGAUGUAUAGGCCAAUAGAGCUGUAACAUCAACUCUCAAAAGAGCUUUGGAUCCCAACCUUGCCACUUUAGACAAGUUUUCUUCCUCCAACAAUUUGAGAAUCUCGCAAUUUUCAUUUAGUAUCUCUACUUCACGUGCCUCACGUGCCUAAUCAUUAAGAUAAUUAAAUACAUCCAUUAUAACCUAGAAAAAUAGUAAGUAAGAUUAAUUAACAAUAGUCCAUGGGCCUAACGUUCCAAAACAACAAGAGCAUUUAAGCUUAAUUAACAUCAAUUAUGAUGCUUUAAUUAGUAUUAGUUGAUGGUUCAUUUUAAAUCUGUCCAUUCCAAUUAAAACUAUGCAAAGAAAUGAUUCAAUAACUCUACUAGCAUACAUCCACUUAAGCUCAUGAAAUAAAUCUUCUCUUAUCUACACGCAUAUAGUUAUCUUAGUCACAGUAUUAUAAGAGAUAGCUACCACUACACUAUCUGCGAGCAUGAAUAAAGCAAGUGAAAGGUUGUAUGUUUGAACAAACACACAGUUAUAGGCAGAUUGUACAGACCCUUAGAUCAGGAGGAUCCUCUGUUUUAAUGCGAUAUCUGGCCAUUAGUGCAUGACUACUAUCAAUAAAUGCAACAAUCAGAUGUUAGUCAAUGGUAUGCCAGUUGCAGGACAUUUUCGAGAAAUCACAUAUAUAAUCUAGAUGUUCCACUGUCGACAAAAAUUAGCUGAAUUCAUGAAAGAAAUAUUGAAAGUAUCAUGGACAAAUCAUUCUGUACUUAUUUCCCUCGAACAAGAAAAAAUAGAACAAAUGCAGACAGCUGAUAUAUGAAGCUCAUAUAUGACUCAUCUGAUUUUCUUUUUCCAAUUUUACUUUCAUAAAAAUCUUCUCAAUAACAUAUCUUCAAAAGUGCAUAAAGCUAUCUUUUCCAAUUUAACACACAGAACAUUCUACAUGCUAGGACAUCAGAAAUUCAGAAUCAAGAUAACUAGAUUUCUCAUUGUUUAACACAAGCAUAAUUGGGCACGCAACCAAUUGCGAUAGAAAAGUACGAGCCUUCAAUGAACAGUACAUACAUAUUUGAUUACAAGAUAUCCAGAAUAAUAUUACCUCAACAGUAUCAGAUCAUCUAAACAACUCUUAAUUACAGUCCAUGUGUUGUAGUGAAUGCUACAAACAACGCAACCGCUUGGUUUGUAUAUAUACUACUUAGUUUGUACUCUUCAACUUGAGACUCACAAUGAGGGCAAAGGCAACCCACGACAGCUCCAAAGUGGUGUCCUGUAGAAUCAGAAUUUUGGAUAUCAACAUACUUCUUCAAUAUCAGAUCUUAUAGCAAUAACUCUAAAGAAGAGAACACAAAUCUCCAAAACCCAUAUCACUCCUUGACUUGCUGAUAGAUGAAUAGUGUGUGCUUGCAUCACCAAUAAGAAUAGUAUGCUUUGAUACAUAAUCAUUGGCAUGCAUUAAGGACAUUGGAAACACCAUUGUGUAUGUAGCCGAUGUAGUGAUUUAAAGCACCACUUCAAACUAGCAUUAGAUGGAAACACCAUUGUGUAUGUGGCAUGUAUCCUCUGAUGUUUUGGAGUUGCUCAUCCAAUGUGCUAAGGGACAUCCUGGCAUAUUUACAUGCUGCAGUGUUGAUAGUCUAGGUUUUAUGUCUGUUACACUGAGCUUGAUCCGGUGUACUGUUGGGACUAAAUCAAAUUUCUUAAUCCAUUCAGCAGGGGCUGAGAAAAAUGUUGCAUGGACUCUUUUCCCGAAUCGGUGUAAUUUUCUAAUCAAAAACCCUAAUUUAUCACCAAAUUGAUAAGUAUCUUGUUUAUCCAUAACGUAAUAGCUUUCUAAGAAUCCGCAGUCCACAAGAAACUGAGGUGUUAAGGUUAUUCUUUCUAUUCCUACUGAAAGAUUUACAAGUUCAUAGUUGUCUAAUGAAAUGGAUGCUUUAUGGCAAAGAAAAUCUAAUUUAUAUAUACAAAGGCCAUUAAUUUGGGAAUUGUUACAUGGAUGCUGGUUUCCUGGGCCUUGUGUAUUUGGGCAUUUUUUAUCAUGGUCAAAAUAAUGGUGAGUACUGACUGCUAUUUGGUGAUUUCUGGCUGGCAUUUGGAUUAUUUGUCUUAGAUAGUUUUGGACUGUGCUAAGGAUCAGAAAAUGUUUAUUUUGGACUAGGUCAGAGAUAUGGCUAAUAUUAUGGGCUGGUAAAAAGUCUUUUAGCUGGUAUGGUUUAAAGAAUAUUCUAGGUUUUAAGAAUUCAAAAGGUCUUUUUGAAAUGGGCCUAUCUUGGGCUGAAGAGUUGCCCUAUAAAAAUGCUAAUGAUGCUAGCCUUCCUUUAAGCCCUUCCAGCUGUGAUACUUGGGCUGUUAUGGUCUCAUUUUGUGAGACUACAACGGCUCUUAAUUGUAUUCCCUGCACUUUUUGUUUAAUAAGGCAAAAUUUCUAGUCAUAGCAUCACAAUGUCUACAAAAUUCUAUUCUGUUUACAUUAUCCUUUUCUACUACAUGGCUAUAACUGCUAUUAGGGGCAUCUAUCUUUUGAACUAGCACCCUCAUGCUAUCAUUUCUACAUGUCUGAUCUAUAAAAAAAGUUUAUGCCAAUGCUAAUCCUAGCAUAUUCUAAUGCUUCAUAAAUAUUUCUAAAUCCUUUACAGAGGGGAUUUUGAAAAUUAUUAAUUUGAUCAGCUACAGAAGUCUAUAAGGAAUAAACUCCUGGUGUUCUUCCUCUAGUGACAACAAAGUAUUUAAAACUUUGAUUUGGAAGAUUUUUAAAAUAAAAUGCUAAAAUAUUUAGAUUUCUAGCUUUGUCUACUGGUGUCUUGCUAUUCCAGAGGUUAUCUAAGAUAUCCUGCUAGAUUUCUUCUAUCUUACCUUCAGCAGUGCUAUGGAAUUGUAGAUUUGAUCCUUUGGAAUACUUGGUGAGUUUCCAUUGGCCAAUCUUUACCUUUCUGAAUUGAGCCAUCUGCUAAGAUUCAAAAGGAGUGUAAAUGAUUCUAGAUAAAUAAUCAGCUAAAUUAUUAUUGCUACCUUUUAUAUGCUCAAAAUUUACUUUAUAACCAUUUCCUAUAUGCUAUCUACAAAAUUCAGCCAUCUUCUUGUAGGGCUUCUUUUUCAUUAUACUUAUUAAAGAAUUUUACUAUAGCUUCACAGUCAGUUCUAACUGUUACUUCUGUUUUAUUUAUGAUAAAUAAUCUAAAGUUAUCAAGACUAUAUUUUACUGCUACCAAUUCUGCAUCUAUACUGCUAAUGUUUCCUUUCUCUUUAUACUUUCCGCUAGCGUACCUGCAAAUUUGUUCUUUUAUUUUACUACUGUAUGUAUUUGGUUUAGAAAGUAAAAUUGCUCCCCAUCCUUUAUUGCUUCCAUUACAUUCUAUUAUUAGAUAAUCUGUGUCUAACGGUAAUAUUAUGUCUGCUAAUUUUUCUACUUCUUUUUUAAUUUCUUGGACUAACUUUAUAUCUUCUUUAUUAAAAAAUUUGUCCCUUUAAUGAUGUUUUUGAGUAUAAUGGUGCUAUCAUGUUAUUUAGAUUUUUAAUGAAGCGUCGUGCAUAAUUUAAUAGUCCUAAGAAUUGUUUCAAUCUUUUUGUUUCUUCUAUUUUAUCAGGAAAUUCUAGAAUCUUUUUACAAAUAUGUGGUUGCAGUUUUAUUCUUCCUUGUCCUUUCUCUGUUCCUAAGAAUUCUAUAUUUCUUUUAAAGAAUUGUGCCUUUUUUGAACUUAUUAUUAUUCCAUGUUUUAUAAAUUCUGAAAUACUAAUUUUAAAUGACUAACAUGCUCUUCUUUAGUUUUUGAGAAUACUAGAAUAUCGUCUAUGUAUACUAUUACAAAAUCUUUAUAUUUAUUAAAAAAUACUAUCCAUUUUCUUUGAAAUAUUGCUGGUGCAUUUUUUUAAACCAAAUGGCAUGACUAACCAUUCAUAAUGUCCCAAAGGACAUGUAAAAGCUGUCCAUUUUAUGCUAUCUGGAUGCAUUUUAACUUGCCAAAAUCCUAAUUUACAAUCAAACUUGCUAUAGAUAUAUUUGCAUUGGAUUCUAUUUAUUAACUGGUUUUUAUCUGGUAUGUCAUAACUAUCUUCUUUAGUAUUAUCGUUUAAUCUUUUAUAAUUGAUUACCAUCCUACUUUUUCCCCUUACUAUUUCAAUAUGUUUCUUUACUAUAAAUGUUGCACUUCUAUGUGAACUUUCACUUUUUCUAAUUACCUUUAAUUUUUCUAAGUCUUUUAUAUGCAUCUCAAAUUCUUUAAUAUCUUCAUUACUAGCUUCUAUUUUUCCUGUACUUAUUUAUAGAUUUGGAUUCAAUAAUUCUAAUUUACAAUAAGUUUUAUCUUUUUCCCAAUGGGUUGUCAGAUUUUCUCCAAAUAUUUCUAGUUUUUCUAACUUACUCAUUAAGCUGUCUAUUUCAUAUGUCCAUGUCUCUAACAUAUUAUAAAUUUUUUCAUUUUCUAGUAUUUCUAAACUUAUUUCCAUUUCAUCAUACUCUUCUAAUUCUUGUAUUAUUUGUUCUUCUUCUAAUUGGUAACACUCUGUUUGUUGUAUUUUUUUAUGGGCUAUGUCUAUUAUUCUAUCUAUAUCUUUUUCUUUAUGAAGGGUAAGAGGAGGUUUUUGUUUUUGUAUUGGCAUGGUUCCACCACGUUUCUCUCGCAACUUUGAUGCUAUUGGUAAUGUAUAGUUUCUAAGUAUAUCUAAUCCUUGUCUUGUUAAUAUUAUUCCAUUAUAAUGAGUUAGUAUGAAGUCUAAUCCUAUUAUCAAGUCAAAUCUAUGUGGUGUAAUGUUAACUUCUGGUAAGUAAUAUGGUUGACCAUGCGUUGGGAGUAUUAUUUGUAGAUUCUUUACUGAUUGUGUAUAUGUAUAAUAUGUUCCAUCCAUCUGUCUAGCCUGUAUUACCUGUGUUGCUUUAUUAUGAAAUCUUUCUGGUAUGUUAUUGCUAUUUAAAAAACUGUGUUUGUACAUCCUGUAUCUAUCAUUGCUUUUAUAGGUAAUUCCCAAUCUUCUAUUUUUAUUAUUAAAUGUAUACUUACUGUAUAGAAUUUCUUAGUGUUUUUAUCAUAAUCUAAUGAUUCUAGUGUUAAGUUAUCUAUGUAAGUUAGCGGUAUUAGUUGGCAUAAAUAGUGUUCAAUUGAAAAGAAUGCGCAACUUGAUGCCAAAUCCUCGCUGCAUCAUCAAUCACUUUGCCUUCUUUAUGACUACUUUGAAAAGGGGAGUGCGGUGUAUAUAAAUUGUUACUAGCGGAUUGACUUUUGAAGGUAAACUCUCAUUUUCUUACUACAUUUGUUGGUAAUCUGGUAACUUUGGAAAUUAGUCACCCUGGAGCAGUCUCUCCUUGCAAUUCAACUUCCAUGUAUGCGAGUCUCUCUUCCUGUUUCUUUGUGGGAUUUUUUUAGCAGUUUUCCUUGCAUUUUCAGCAUCUGAUUUUGAAGAGUUAUGUUGAUUUUCCAUUUCUAUUGUGCACCUAAACACCAGCUUCAUAAACUGCAGGUGAAUAUUGAAAGUUGCAAAUAAAUGGUGUUUAUUGCUUUGUCAUUAAAUGAACUUCACAGACAAGACGACAAAAUCGUGCUCAAGUUGACAAAAGACAAUCAAAUAAGCUCGUUUUGCGCUACUGUCAUCCAAUCGCUUGGCAGGUUGCAUGGGCAAGGGCACUGGUCCGCCACUGUAGAAGAUUACACGUGUUGGUUCGGAUUCCAUCUCUAUUGUCUGUAGCCAUUUCUAUUGUCCGCAGUAUAUACAAAAA
rnacentral:lncRNA from 1 species